AAAAAAAAAAAAAUACAUGUUCAGAACAAUGAGGUUACAAUAUAUCAGUGCUUUACCCUGUCAACCUUCAGGAAAAUCUCAUCGACUUGAUGCCUAAAGCCAUCCACUUCUGUAUGAACAGUAUCCCCCACAACAAAGUUUCUGCCAUCUGCUACAUCCAUGGGAUCAAUCUAAUUCUGUACAACAACAUUUGGUGAAUACAAAGAACGCUACCUUGGGAAUUGCCAAAAAAAAAAAAAGAUAGAUAAUGCUCUUUAAGGUGUAAAAUGCCUUGAAAAUAAUAGUUUCCUUAAGACUUAAACCUAAAAAUUAAAAUAAAAUGAGGCAAACCUUUUCUGUGAAUUUUUUUAAAAGUAAAUAUGAAAAUAUAUGAUAUUAUGAGUAAUAAGAUCAACAAAUUAGGACUUUUACCAUGGAAAUAAAAAACAGCAAUAUAGUUUCACAAGGAGCCCUCACCGCACAAAGAACCCUAGAAUAGACAAUAGAUGGAUAAUACAACCGAAUAAGAAGCAUCAUAAACUAUAGAUGCAAAAAAAAAGGUAGGAAACAAUUGAUUUAUGAAACAAAAUGAUGCACCUGGCUACAAAUAUAAGAACAAACUGAAUUUUCCAGUUAUCCUUCUGUAGCAAUAAACUUACUCCAACAAACAACAAUGCAAAGAACCCCCAAAUUAAAUGGUAUAACUACAAAUAUUGACCUAAUUGAACCCAAAGAAAAUUUUACAAACUAAUCCAAAAAACAAAAUCUUCUCUACCACUAACUCAUUCCUGAAAACAUUUCCAUGACCUUUUAGCCAUGUGUAUUGACAUUAUUAACCUUCUCUAUUCAAAUCCUCAACCGUUCGAUUUUCUCUCUCCUCAACCAACAUCUUCAAUGCUAAUCACCAAUAUUCCACCAAAACAUUUAUACUCAACAACAUUUUGUCAUUAGCAUUGAAUGAUCUUGGAUUAUAUCACCGAUGGGACAAAAAAGUCGCUCUAAAACAUUGAAUUUCCUUCCCAUUCUCAUUCCCUGCUCUUCACAUUCUUCUACAAUCAUUCUCCAUCAAAGUUUCAGGUGAAAAUCCUUCUUGUCCUUCGUAUUUGCUCCAAUCGGUCUUCAGAACCAAGUAACUGGACUAUAAGUACUCGUGUGUGAAUUUUAUCUUAUUUUUUAAUAUUACUCAUCGUCUAACAAAAUCGUCAUGACCGUUGAGAUUUUACACACGAUCAUGGUACAUUUUAAUGUAAGAAUUAUAACUAAUUGUUGAUUAUCAAUUAGUUAGUAGUUAGUUUAAUCAUCUGACUAAAUUCUUGAUUUCCAACCAACCUCUAGUUAGUUGUUAGUUUUAUUUUCUGUUAAAAGUUUGUUAUAACCGUCCAACUUUAUCCUUUUUUUUUUUAAAUGGAGACAAGCCUCUUUAUUAAUAAUAAUAAAUGAGACUAAUGCUCAAAGUACAAGAGUAAUAUACUAAGAGCAAAAUAAGAAAAAGACAAAGUCUUUCAAACAAACUAAACAAAGAUGAACCCAUACAAAGUAUAUGGGAAACGACCAAUAAACGAUCACAAAGUUGAAACAACGAAAGAACCAAAGCAACAAAGAGUUGAAACACCAGUAAAGAUCUUAAUACAAAGAAAAUAUAAACACUUUGAUGAAAAGCGCCCACUUCAAACUGAAAUUUUGAAUACCACAUGCUUCGAUUUGAAAGGUGAAGUAGUAAAAUCAAGUUUUUCUUCGCAAGAGGGCAAGGAAACCUACAAAUAAGUAUACGGGAUCAAAAUGUCUCUUCAACCAUAGAAGCCAUGCAGCCCCUGUUAGGUUGUUGCGCUUAUAUGAGAUUAAUGCUCCUUUGUUUAUUUCCAUAUUCUAUUUACAUUGUGCCGUUCUUGAUCUUUUAUCCCGCUUUACAAGGCUUUCUAGCAUUUUAUUUCGGUAGUAUAUUGCUAUCAUGCUUCUGCACAAUUGCCAAGGAACUGAAUGAAGAUCUGAACCAAUCAUCAUGACCCAAGAUUUGUGUGCUUCUUCCGCUCGAUGGUCCAUGUCUAAAGCCCAUAUUAACUGCCCAUAGACAUUCAUUGUGGCUCCCUGGCCCUUGCUUAGCAUCUAUUUGAUUACCUGUACAAUUCUAUGCCACUGUUGUUCCUUCUCAAGGGCAGCCAAUACAUGCUUAAGGGAUGCUAUUGGAAAGACUUGCUCCCAUGCAACUCAGGCAUCAAGAGCACCAUAAACAGCCUCCUUACCUAUCUCUCAGAUGAAGCAGCUCUAAAUCCGUGAUUGAGCUGCUGUCCCACAUAGACAAAAUCCCCCUGAAGAACCCACAGAUUCCACAAAAUCCCAACCAACAUCUUUGGAGCUCCAUAGAGAUUUUAUAAAAGCAAAAUUGAUAGCUUCCAUUUUUUACUCUUGAGUCAAAAUUAUGUUCGGAUUACAGUUUUUUUAACUUUUUGAGAGCCGCUCUCUUGGAGACAUCUUUUAGACCCCUUGUAUUCCAUAAGAUAAUCUUCAUAGGGCUGAGUGAGAGCAAAUAGUGGGCUGACCCCUUAGACCAGAACUAUACCACAGUGGGUUUAGGGUUUAGGGUUAUUAACUAAAGAUAACAAAUCUUUACGUAAUUCUAAAGAGCUUUAGAAGGGGAAUGGCAGAUUCCUCAAAUAAUGUAGUAAGAUCAGUCCCAUCUAUUUCUGAGGUGACAUUUUGAUCAGAAACUCUUAGAAAACCCACUGAUUCUUCACUACUUACAUUAAAAGGAGAGUCUAUGGUCACAGCACGAGUCUUCUCUGGUGAGUUUAAAAAAUAUAAAAUAUGGCAGGGGGAUCCUUGCAUUAAAGAUACAUUAGUGUUGGGGUUGGGGAGUUUGAAGUAAAGAAAAGAAAUGGGAGGAAAACCUGCUGAAGCUGACCUUAUGAGACCAUCAGAAGACUGUAUUUUGGUGCUGCACACCUCCAGAAGAUCAGGAUUUUCUUCUGAUAUUGAAGGCCCUGUACGGGUGAUCUGUGGAGGAGCUGAAGCUGAAGCUUUGAGUGAACAGAAUCCAUUCAGUUCUGAUUGUAGCAAGGUUGUCCAGAUAUUAUUAAAAGAAUUUUGCUUUCUGAUGUAGUGUUUAACUAUUUUCGGAACUUUAGAAGAUUUACCACCUAUGAAGAGGGAUUUGCUGUGGCAGUGGGCAGCUCAGGAGUUGGCUGCAGAGUUGGAUUGGCCAAGAGCUUAAUUAAAGAGGAUGGAGGCUCAUUAUUACCCGUGAACGUAAUUAGGGGGCACAAUGUUACUCUCACCUGGUGGGUCAUUAGCAGCUGUAAAAAGAGGGUUUAAUUUAAUUUCAGUGGGCCCUAUAACUUUUUGGAGACAGCUGUGCUGCAAGGGAUUGGUGAUUGGCAAAAACUGUUCAGAUGCCCGCUCGUUUGAGAAAACAGCCAGCUGUGCACCGAUUUCUGUCUUUUUCUCCAGCAAUGGCACCGGUAAGCUGGCCAGAAAGGGCUUCAAAAGACUGAACGGAUUCCUAGCCCUGGGAAGAACAAACACUGACUUUGGUACAUUGAUGACUGGAGGGAAGGAGGAAAUGUCAAGACCUUCAUGAUUCAAAACUUCCCUAAUACGCAACCCCGGUCGAUUGAGUUACUAAAAUUCCUUGCAAACUGGGGGCUAUGCUUGUAUUAGGUGGAUUUAAAAAACUCAAAAUCACCAUAGUGCAGAAAGAUGCUACCCCUCUUAUGAUCAGAGAUUUCAAUUGUUGAAGGAACAAAGCUACAAAUGUUCUUUUUGACCAAGAUCCGGGCUUCACUACAAUUUGUAAGAUUUAAGGUUUUUGUGGCUAUCAAUUAGUCUUCCAAAGUGGUCUCCUAUAGCUUCAAAGGUGCUUCAUUUCCAGAAAUCUAAAGGAAGAUUCUUUAUUUUAGUCCAGCCCCCAAAACAUUGAAUCACGAGGGGCCUACUACGUCCAGCUUUAUCCUUUGUAUAAAUAGGUCAUUUGACUUCUCUUUCAAAUCAAUAAAAAGAUAAAGAAAUUUUAGUAUUCUUGAGUUUUGUUUACACCAAUUGGUAUGAGAGCGAAGAUCCAUUACGCAUUCUUUCUUGGAUCACUUUUUUUUCAUGGAUGCAGAAACCUCCUCUUUAACAAAGCUAUGGAAACCAGACUGACUAAUGUAGAGAAAUCUGUAGGUGAAAUUCAAGGCGAGUUAGAUGAAAUCUGUUCUAUGCCGUGGGAAAUUUUACAGAACUUAAAUAUCAAUUCUGAAACCAACAGAGAGCAUGCUGAAUUAGCUCCAAACAAAAAAAUUCAGAUCCAAGAACGACAAGAUUUGGGCGACGACAGAGCUGUCAACUUUAAUUCUUCACUAAAUGAAGCCAAGAACCUUGCAAGAAACCCAGCCAAACAAAAGAUUGUCAAAUAUCCUUAUAAAAAAUUAAAGAUGAAAACAGUCCAAUGAAACUGCAGGACACGAUUACACUUUUGAAUUAAAGAUGAAAACAUGCCAAGGUUUUGUAGUUGGCAAAGAAAAGGUUCACAUACUAAUCCUCCAAUUCGCAAACGACACCCUUCUGUUUUGUAAGUAUGAUGAAAGCAUGCUAAUGAAACUGCAGGACACGAUUACACUCUUUGAAUGGUGCUCCAAGCAGAGACACAGAAGGUUAAUUGGGAGAAAUCAGCCUUAUAUGGAGUUAAUGUGGAAGAGGAUGAGCUGAAAAAUAUGCCUGGGAAAAUGGGAUGUUCUGCAAAAAUGAUGCCCUUCUUAUACUUAGGGCUUCCAUUGGGAGGGUAUUCAAGACAGUGUACUUUUUGGCAGCCCAUGAUUGAGAAAAUGCAGAGAAAAAUACACAGAUGGAGAAGAUUCAACUUGUCACAAGAAGGUAGAGCUACUUUAUGUCAAUCCGUAUUUGCUAAUCUUCCUACAUAUUACAUGUCUCUGUUUGCAAUUCCGAUUAAUAUAGCAUCUUCUUUGGAGAGAUUAAUGAGGAAUUUUUUCUGGGAGCAGCACACAAGAAGUAAAAUUAACCAUUUGGUUAAAUGGGCCAAAGUUAUCCGAAACCAUUUGGUUAAAUGGGCCGCCCCAACUUGUGGAGGUUUGGGCUUGGGAGCAUUGCAAAAUAAGAACAUGGCUCUACUUCCAAGCGGGGCUGGAGGUUUAUGAAUGAAGACGACUCUCUAUGGAGACAAGUCAUCCAAAGCAUCUAUGGAAAAGAACCCUUCAACUGGCACACGGUGGGAAAUUCUAGCCACAGUCUAAAAGGCCCAUGGAUUAGUAUCUCACAGGUAUGAAGGAAGGUGGAGCCUUUAGCUUCUUCUAAACUUGGAGAUGGUUCAAGGACUGCCUUUUGAACAGAUGAUAGGAUUGCCUUCCUCUCUGCACUCAAUACCCCCUGCCUCUUCAGAAUUACACUUCUACCAAAACGCUCCAUAGCAGUGCACUGGGAUUAUUCAACUUCUUCUUGGUCCAUAGUCUUUAGAAGGCUUCUUAAAGACAUUGAAAUUUUGGAAUUACAAAACUUGAUGACUCAACUAGCUUCAAAAAAGGUCUCAAACAAUCCCAACAGAAGGAUUUGGUCUUUGGAAGAGCAUAGGAAGUUUACAGUCAAGUCUCUUACAAGACACCUACUGGCUUUUUCCCCAUUGGCCAAGGAUCUUCAUAAAGCUUUGUGUAAACCCAAAUGUCCACCAAAGAGAGUAAGUAUUCUCGUUUGGAUUAUGAUUUUUGGCCUCUUGAAUUGCGCUUCAGUCAUGCAACUAAAGACACCAAACAGCUGCCUAUCACCUUCCAUGUGUCCACUGUGCAAGCAAGAAGGUGAAGAUUUACAGCACCUAUUCUUCAAAUGCUCUCUCUCCAAACUGUUAGUGGAAGCUUUUUUUAUUUUCGAUGUGGUUUGUGUCUUUGGAAUUCUUUUAACCAAAAUGUUCAGCAAGUGGGUCCGAUAUUUAAGAAGAAACUGAGGCUGAUUUGGGCUAAUUUUUCAAAAGCUAUGUUUUCUGAAAUUUGGUUUGAAAGGAACCAAAGAACCUUCCAUGACAAUAAAACUUCUUGGUUGGAUCACUUUAAGACAGCAAGUAGGAACGCAGUAACUUGGUGUACCCUCCAUAAAGAAUUCGAAGCUUUCUCCAUUUAAGCUAUCAAUCACAACUGGCAGUCCUUCAUUUAUUCAGUUCUUUAACAGUCAGUCCUUCAUGAAGACCCACUGUUUUGACCUUCUAUAUGGUUGCUGUCCUUUUGAUGUAUUUGUUAUGUUUGUUAUGUUUUUAUUUCCAUUCCAUUUUGGAUCUGCAGCUCAUCAUGGUUUGUACUCCUGAAUACUUUAUUUUGUAUUUUUUGACCCUAUGUGUACUGGAUAUAACAAGGACGCUAAGGGAGUGUCCGGGUGCGCCUACUAAUCCCAUAGUCUCUUAAUGUUUUCUACUCUUUGUAUAAACCUUUUGUACUUUGAGCUAUUAUUAUAAAUAAAGAGGCUGGUUUCCUUUAAAGAAAAAAUAAAUAAAUAAGAAACUGUCAUCUAUAUCCUUAUAAAGUUUCUAUAAAAAUUUGGACAAAGUCUCCUCUGAAAAACGAACUAGUCACACCUAGAAAAUAAGAGAAAAAAAUUGAAAACGUAAGUUAAAACUCAAUGAGUGGCAAGUUUUUAAAAGUAAAACUUAUAAAACAUACUUCUAAUAAGAAACAUUUAGGCAUACUUUUGAUAACAAAACCAUAACUCAGAUUCCAAGAUCGUUAUUUAUAAAAUCGUUACAAAUUUAUUAAAAACAUGUCAACUUAUCCAUGUCCAAUUCAACACAAAAGGUUAAAGUAAAUACCAACAAUGAAGCAUAAGGCCAUACCCAGCUCACACAUAUUUACCAUUAACCCUCUACAAUCCCAAUCUACGACACUAGAACACACUGAAUAAACGGCUGGAGAAUAGCUCACGCAUGAUUCAAAGGACAUGCGGCUAAACUGAGUUCACGCAUAUUCACAAUCAAACAUGUACAUAUCUCGGUGUACCAUGGAAAAAUGUAUCCAAGAAUAGCUCAACAUGUUCCAUAUCCACAAGGAAACAUACGGCCAAACUGAGCUCACGCACAUUUAGUAACUGCAAUAAUGACGAUCUAAUCUCAAUAUCCACAUCCUCGGUAACUAUGCUCCUAUGUGCACAUAGAGAUAUCCUCCAAGGGUUUUUCUAGGCUCGAAGCCAAUACUACAGCCUACAUCCAUUUCCUCACCUAGGUUUAGGUUCCUAGAUCUCUGGGUUACAACUUCCCUCAACCCCAGAAUCCCUUGGAAACCGUAGGGGGUGCUAUGGACACACAUUCAUGUAGCCUAUGGGUAAAAUCACCUCAGUACACUGAUUCUGUGGUUUGAAAACCAACCUUCACAUUCCACCAUAAACCAUCAUCUAUAAAUACAUCUCAUACCCAACAUUUCAUGCAGUCCAAAGCUAAAACAAAUUUUCUAAAUAAGAGAGACAGAAGCAUUCGCAUCGAUAAAUCCAAACUAAGCAUAUUUUAACACAAAUUUCCGAAAGAACUCAAAAUACUAGAGAAGUUGUAGCUAUUUAUCACAAUUUCUAAUAUUUCAUAAAAUCCACUAUAAAAUCACAUUUGCAUAUAACUCAUGUAAAUUGUAAUUAAAUCAUAUCCUAUUCAAAAACACAUAUUACAAAUUCGCAUUAUAGAGAACUCAUGAUAAAUCAUAAACUUUAGUUAAGGUCAUUAUUGAUAAUACAGUUAUAUCAAAACAAGCUAUGCCGAACACUUAUUCACAAACCAAAUUCAACUAUAUGUCUAAAAUAAAUUUUCAUAUAAAAUAUUUGAAAAUAACCACUUACGGUCAAUAGCUUGAUCCUCUAAGAUUAGAAGCUCUCCCUGGCUUGACUUAAAGCGACGUGAAAACCGCAAUGACUUCUUAACAAUACCUCUCAGUCCUGAAAAGAUCCAACCAAUAUCAAAACCAACCUUGUUGGAAAUCUAUUCAAUUUAAUCCAAAACAGUAUGGGCAUCAAUAAACUCAUGCCUAAACCAAAUGGGUGCUUCAAGAACUUAAAGAAAACGCACUAUAGUACCCAAAAUCUUACCUAAGGCUUGUUUAAAUAGCCUUAGCUUCGAUGGACAGCACUCAGCGGUUUUCUAAAUUCACAUCCUAACAUCCAAAAAUCAUGGGUACCUCAAAAUUACCACCAAACCUUAAUGGAUAUUCAAGACCAACUCCAAAAAGUUUAGAUUCUUACCCAUUUGAUGCCAAAAACGCCUAGUAUUCACUUCUCGCCAGCUGGACUGCAGUUAACUCCUUCCAAAAGCUCGAUUAUAAUACUUAAACCUGAUGUGCAUUAAUAAAUUUAAGUCAAAAUUUAAUGGGUGUUCCAAAUCUUUACAAGAAACUCAACUAAAACAAUGAAAUUUUACCCCAAAACUCAAGAAUCAAACUUUCAGCGACAACGCAACGAUAAGCAACAGAGAUUCGAUGCUCACCAGAACACCGGAGGCUCAAUCAACGCAUAGAAAGGAUGGACAACUAGCUCGACAGAGGACUCGUGGGUCCGAGUGGCAAGAUCUGGCACUACGACUUUGGAUUAAAUAGCAGCGCGAAACGAACCUCGGGGGUAGCGUGACUGUGGGCCAAGUGGCAGCGUGCACGACAAACAAAAUCCAACGGCCAGGAGUUGGUGGACGAUUUCCAAUCGGCAGACAGUGGCUAAUCGGAGACGACGAGAGGAAGGGAGGGCCGUGGGCUUUCACGAAGAGGAAGAAAAAUCCAGCUUCUUCUUUAUUAUAAUUUCAUUUUAUAAAAAUAUAAAAUAAAAAGAUAAGAAAUGACCAAAAUGCCUCUCACUUUUAUUUUUAUAUUUCCUUAAUGCCCUUAGUGGUGUACUUCGAAUCUACCCUUUUGAGAAAAAUACAACUACUCUUUCUAAUAAUUGCUUCUUAUAAAUAAUAUCAUCUCCUCCAAACAGAAGAGAAACAUUCAUCAACCAAAACCCUUCUAGUGGUUUGCACCAUUUGGUAUCAUAGCACCCAAGGAUUUCUAGGACCAAUGGCCCUUCCUCAACCAAUCAAUUAGGUGGACGACGUCGAAACGAUCAAGAGCAAGAGGCAAAAUCAACUUCCAUCCUCUCUCCCAACGACUUCUUCAAGACACGCUUAGUUGAGAGAAUUAAGAAAAUUCUUAGAGAACGUUUGGUGAAGGAAAAAGUUAUGAUAUAAUCUUAUGAUUAUAAUAAAACUAAUUUUAUGAUAAGAUGUGUUUGGAAACGGUUUGUUAUUGAUAGUGUUAUGAUAGUAUGUGUUUGGGAAAUGAUUAUGAUAAGUAGUAUUAUGAUAAUAUUUGUCAUAAACUUGGCCAUUAUUCCUCGGAAUGCAUAAAUAGAGUUGAAUAAAAUGCAAAUUAUGCUGAGAAAGACGAAGAAAGUGGUAAUUCAUCAUUGCUUCUAGCAUGUAAAGGUGUGGAAACAUGUGAAAACAAUGCAUGGUAUCUCGAUAGAGGUGCAAGCAAUCAUAUGUAUGGAAGUAAAUCAAUGUUCGUGGAGCUUGAUGAAUCUGUUGGUGGCGAUAUUGUAUUUGGUGAUGCCACAAAAAUUCCAGUUAGAGGAAAAGGUAAAAUGUUGAUCAAUUUGAAGAAUGGAAAGCAUGAGUUUAUCUCUAAUGUUUAUUAUGUGCUUGAUAUGAAGAACAACAUUUUGAGUUUGAGACAACUCUUAGAGAAAGGCUAUAAUAUUUUGAUGAAGGAUUAUAGUCUUUUGAUAAGAGAUAAUCAUGACGAUAUGAUUGCUAAAGUGCAAAAGACAAAAAAUAGAAUGUUUUUAUUGAACAUUCAAACUGAUGUAUCGAAAUAUUUAAAGUCAUGUUUGAAAGAUCCAAACUGGAUUUGGCGCUUGAGAUUUUGGCAUUUAAAUUUUGAUGGCUUGAGACUAUUAGCCAGGAAGGACAAACAUCCAAACCAAUUUGGUGAAGGUUGUCUUUAUGGCAAGCAAUCAAGGAAGAGUUUUCCACAACAAUCAUCCAAGUGUGAGUAGAAUACACAUAAAAAAUUAGAAUCUUCCAAUAAAGUUUGUUUUUCCUCUUAAAUAUUCUAUUUGGUAAUUAUCUAUUUGGGGUGUUCAUCGUACGCUUCCAACAGUAUAAACGUCAUGAAAAGCAAAAAAAAAUCUUAUAUUAUAAGAUUAUGCGGUUGUAAUGUGAGUUGACAAAAUGGAAUAGGGAAGCAAAUGAAAUGAAAUGCUACACACACUCACCGAUUGUCUUGCUCCUCCAAUCCCUGACAUCAGUGAGAGUUUAUGUAUAGCAUGAAAACCGUCUAUCAACCAUAUAGACUCCUUGGGUUCUCAUAAUAACAUUUGCACUUUUAAAUCUUUUCGAUACAAAUUUUGAUGUUGUGUUGGGAAACAAGACUUUGAUGUGGUGUCGAUCAUUGGCGUGCAAGUAUCUUAAUUUUGUUGGAGAAGUUCUUAGUAACAACAUAUGUUCUGAUUUUGAGGACCAACAACAUCCCACAGUAGAAGCCAUUAUUAUUUCACCGUCGAUUGACACUUCAAAAUGAAUAAAACCCUCCGCUUCGUCACAUGAAUCUCCAUCUGCUUUGAAAAUUACACACAGAACCAAAGCUGGUAUGUUCUUAUCUAAAUUGUGACGAAACCUAACACUCAUUGAACUUCUCGUAGUUUGUUUGUUGCAGUAUUUUGGAAUCUCAUUGUUUGUUAUGAAGAGCACUUUUGUUGAGUCACUAAAUUCAGCGUCCUAAGGGAUUAAGAGUUAAUUGGCAUUAAAUAAGAGAACAUAUAUAACAUUAGAUAUUAUGAUAUGAACAAAUAGAAAUUAGAUGAAAGGAGAGGAACCUGUUUUCCGAACAUCAUAUCAGCAAUGCAAUCAGGACGUAUAGCCAACAAUUCGCUACCACUGGCAUUCACCCGAGCUAAAUGAUGGGGAAGCUUUAUUAUAUUUUGAAGAAACUUGCAAUUCCUUAAUUCAAGAAACCUUAAUGACUUAAAAUUUUGGAGAGAGGGUAGACAAGAGAAUGUGUUUCCUGACAAAUUUAGCUUCUCCAAGGAAGUGCAGACAUUAGAUAAUGUUUCGAGGAAAUCAGAAUUUGAUAUAUUACAAUUUUUGAGAUCCAAUACCGUCAGCUUGAAAUAUGAGCUUUCUUGGGAAAAAUUUAAGCUUGAUCUCGGGGGAAACAUGUCGAGUUUAGAACACCCGCGAAGAUGAAGUUCCUCGAGACUUUUUAGCCAAUGAAUUUCAUUUGGAAGGGCAGUCAGGUUUGCACAAUCAUUAAGGUUUAAAUUCUCGAGCCCAAUAAGAUAUCCAAUUGAUGAAGGUAACACCCUUAUGGCUGUACCGUUCAAAUUCAUCACCCUUAAAGAUUUCAUGUUUUCAUCAAAUUCUGGAAGUUGUUCAAGCUUGUAACAAUUAGUGAAACUCAAAGAAUCAAGAGACUUCAACUUCAGGCUGCUAGGAAGCUUUUCUAGGUUAUGGCAUAAAUCGAGUUGUAAGGUGAUAAGUUUAUCAAGAGACCCAAUAGACUCGUGAAUUAUUCUUAAAGAGAAGCAAGUAUUGAGAUCUAAUAUCUCAAGGUUUGAUGCCAUUGAAAAGUCAGUAAUUUCUUCAAGAUUUAGACAAUCCCGUAGAUUCAGAACUUUAAGAGAUUUGAACUUCAGGUGGCUUGGAAACUUUCUAAAAGAGCUGUCAAAAAAAGUUUCAAGCUUUAGACAUGAAGCGAGAUUCAAAAGUUCAAGAGACUCUAACUUGUUGGUGUAAAUUGGUAGCCUUUCAAGGUUUUUACAGCCUUCCAGAUCCAAGAUAAUAAGCUUAUCAAGAGAACGACCAAUAGAGUCGUGAAUUAUUCUCAAACGGUCGCAUUCCCUGAGAUAUAGUUCCUUAAGGUUUGAAGAUGCAGACAAGUCAGGAAUUUCUUCAAUUUUUCUGCACCUACUAAGAUUCAAAACUUCAAGAGAUUUUAACAUGAGAUAGCUGCUUGGAAACUUUUCUAGGUUGUCACAACCUUCAAGGUCCAAUGUAACAAGCUUACUAAGAGAAGCCACAGACUCGUGAAUCACUUUCAAACUCGUGCAUCCCCUAAGAUAUAAUUUCUCAAGGUUUAAUGUGGCAGAGAAGUUGGGAGUUUCCUUUAACGUGCCACAAUAACUCAGAUCAACAUGCUUCAUUGUUUUACAAUUCUAAAACAAAUGGGAAAAAAAAUCAUUAAAUAAACUUCCAAAAAAUCACACACAAGUAGAAGCAGUACUAAAAUUUACCUCAAAUGCAAUCCUUGGCUGUUUGUUGACUACACCUUUCAUAACUAGUCCGACAAGCCGACCUUUCACAGAAAAACUUAUGGACGAAGACUGGUUAACAUAAAAUGUAGACCACUCAAUCCACUUCAACGAAUUAGGUAAAUACUCAAAUAUAUUUUUAGGGAAGUAUGCUACUCUUUGAAGGAUAAGCAAUCUAAGAUUUUUCAUGUUUCUAAAUGCUUCUGCUUCAACAAUUUUCAGCCAAGGUUUGUAGUGCAAGUCUAACUUUAUGGCUUUAACUGCUUUAGUUCCCUACAAGGUUAUAAAUCAAGUAAUUUUACAUUAUUAACAAAUAAUUACCGACCGAUUUGACUUGCAUUAUGUUUUAAUUUCAUCACAGUAUAUAUCUUUGGCAAUAAGUAAAUAAAAACAUUGUCUAAAGUCACUCACAGAUUUCUCUUUCAAUAUCUUGAUAGCUCCUUCUGCCUCCCACAACCUACUCCUUUUUGCAGGCUCAAAAGAUUCAUGGCGAACAAUUGUUUGACCCAUUUGUUGUAUUAAAUCAUGCAUUUGUAUCUUUCCAUCUUCAACAGUAACAAGGGAAAGAUCCAUAAGAAUUAUAAUUCCAUAGUCUGGAUUGAGAUCACAUGCCUUUAACACAUCCUUACUGUAGUUAAUAUCCUCUCCCACGAAAAAGCAAGAAAUAUCAAGAAAAAUCUCCUUCACUCUUUCGUGAAGCUCCUUAAAACCUAUUUGAAAAACAGCUUCAACACUUGGUUCGAGGGAAUUUUCAAGUUCAUGUAAUUUACUUUUCCAUAUUUUUCGCUCUCUCUUAUGGAGAAGAGAACCCAAAAUAACAAGAGCCAAUGGAAGACCUUUGCAAUAACUUACAGCAAAUUUUGAAAGGUCUACAUAAUUACUUGAGGGAUGAUUUUGCUUAAAAGCAUGCAGGCUAAAAAGCUCAAGGGAUUUCUUAGGAUCCAACAACUGAAUAGGAUAUACUAUAUCAAAUGAAUGGUUUUCUAGUAAAUGUCGAUCUCUUGUUGUUGCUAUGAUUUUACUUCCUCGACCGAACCAAUCACGUUCACCAACUAGUGCGUCUAAUUGUUCAUCCUUAUCCACAUCAUCAAGAAUGAUAAGAACUUUCUUUGAGCAUAACCGAUCCCUAAUGAUAUUCUUUCCUUUAUGAACGUUGCCCACCUUCCAAGCAUUAUCUUUUAAGAUCUCACUGAGUAGUUUUUCUUGUAGUUGAACCAGGUCUUUGAAUUGCUCUAAGGUUUCUCUAACAUUCGAAAGAAAGCAACAAGCUUCAAAUUGAUAAGCGAUUUUGUUGUAUAAAGCUUUGGCCAGAGUGGUCUUACCAAUGCCUCCCAUCCCAUGUAUCCCCACCAUGUUAACACCAUCGGGCACAUCAUGGGAGGCCAAUUCCUCAACAGCUCUAAGUUGAGAAUCAAUUCCAACUGGAUGCUUGGCUACAUGUAGUAGUUGUGUUUGAUUUAAUAUAGACAACACCUCCUUAACAAGGUCAUGAAUAAGAUCAGCCUCAUUCUUCCUGUAAUGAUUGAGCACAUCAUACACAAAUACAAGUAGACGAAGUUAAGAAACACAGUAGGGAACAAUAAUAAGAAUUAAGAAACAUAGUAGAUGAAGUUAAAUUCAUUAUAACAUUAAAUUUUUCAAUAACAAAAUUAGAUUGGUCAACAUGGCACUCACACAUUUCUCUUUCAAUAUCCAUUUUGUGUUUUUUGUUUGAGGUUUUCAUUGGGUGUUUUUUGUUUUAGGUUUUGAAAAUUAAGCCUAUCUUCUUCCAAUAUCUUAUUAUUAUUGCAUCUCUUAUCGCAAUGGUUGAAUAUUAUUAUCGAAGUUUUAAAAACAAAAAUAAGUUUUUAAAAUCUACUUUAUUUAGUUUUCAAAAUUUGGCUUGAUUUUUAAACGAUUGGAAAAAGUUGAUAACAAAGCAAGAAGUUUGGAGGUAAAAUUGUUAUACAGGCUUAUUUAUGAUAGAAAACUAACCACUUCUCUUUUUUUUUAACUGUUUGAGGAAUCAACUUGCAUAAAACGAAUUGUUUACCUUGAACAAGGUAAUUUUAAUUCAUCUCAUCGUUAACCUUGAAAACUGUUAAAACUAACUUAAAAACUAAAAAAAACUAAAAACAAUGAUACCAAUCAAUCUGUUUUCUUAAAAGUCGUUUUUUUUCUUAAUGUAUUUGAUAUUUUUUUGUAAUCUAAAGGGUAAAAUAUAAUUUCACUCCUAAAAUAAAUUCACUACCUUUUAGAAUAAUGCAUGUAAAAAAUACCUAGUUGCUAAAUCCCAACCAGACAAAGAAGCAGCAGUGGUCAAAGCUUCCUUCCAUGGUUGAACCUUGUUGGUCAUUAACUCAUUAGCUUCAUGUUUGGCCAAUGCUUCACCAAACCCACCAGUUUGUUUUCGAACCUCAGAUGGAUCCACCUUGUUAAGAAAUUAAUCAACAAAUUAAUAAAGAUAAACCCGUAAAGCAAUGGAGACUAUGAUACAGAUUUAUAUGAUUUAUUAUCAGUGGUGGCUAACUCCACAGGUAGAGGGAGGGAGCAAUUUUAUUAGAAAGAAAAUUCAUAUUACACAUCAAAUGUGCUUCUAUGGUUGGAGUGUUAGUGGGCUUCUCUAAAACGUUAGGGUCAAAAUCAUAGAUAACAUAACUAUAUAAAAAAUACGAAUUCAGAUAGUCCAACAAAUUAAACCUUGUAGAAGACAGGAAAAACUAUAUGUCCCAUGGAUUUCAUGCACUGAACUAUUUUCACCAGUUCAUCCAAACACCAGGUGGAAGAUGCAUAAUUUUUGGAGAAAAUAAUGAUGGAAAUUUUAGAACCAUCAAUAGAUUUGAGAAGGGAUUCAGAAAUUUGACCACCCCUCUCUAGCUUGUCAUCUAUGAAGAAAUUGACACCCUUUUCACGCAAGGCCCUGUCAAGAUGACUAGUGAAGUUGUUUCGAGUAUCCUCACCUCUGAAACUCAAAAACACAUCAUAACUCCAUUUCAAAUUUGAAGAACAAGACGAUGAUGAUUGUGCUAAACCAACCAAAGAAGAACCCAUCCGAAUUUUGAAAAUCCUGAAGUAAGAAUCCAGCCAAGGGAUGAGAAUGAAGAACAAAAUGGUUGUUUCUUUUCCCAGUGAACAAAUAAAUUACAAUAAUUUAUGCAAGUUAAAUUAUUAAAUUUUAAGCAAUUUGCAUCUAUUGCAGCACAAGGUUUAACCAACUAGUAUACAUAUAUGUUCAAGUCCACCUUUUCCAUGUUAAAAAAAAAAAAACGGUCAACUAUUUGUAUCUAUACUUUCUAUUUUUAACAUUUAAAAACUCAGAAGCAUCAACGUCAAGUUCGCUUAGAAGUUAGAACAUUUCCACUUUAUGUUCAAAUACUUCCUUCUUCUACAAGAUAUAUAUAUACAAAUAUAAUGAUAAUAAAAAGUUCUAUCUACAAAUAACAUAAAAUAAUAUUUUGUCUAACUAGACCACCAUAAAAUUAAUAAAUAAGAAGUGACAAAUUCAUUAGUUUUUCAACUAACAGAAAUAUCUAUGGAAAUUGUUUUGGGUCUUCAAGUUUAUCAUAACCUAAUUAUUUCUCUGACAUGUUCCCUUCAGGAUACAACAAGAAAAGUUGUGUAACUCAAACCAAUUUUCACUUAAAGAUCGUAUUUACCUUGGCCAAUUUGCUUUUAAAGAGAGAUAAUGAGAGAAAAAAAGAGGAAGAUGUAUUUAUAUAAUACUAAUCUUUGUUAGUGUAAAAUUGCGAGAAUAUGGUAUGUGAUGUAUUGAUAGUACUCAUCUUUGGAUAUUGAAUAUUUAAUUCAAAGCUAGGUAAUAAAUGUAUACUUGUUUAACAUUUCUUGAAAUUGCAUUUUUUUUCAACUUUUUAACGAAGAAACACGUACUAGAUUACAUAUGGAAGAGAAGUUUGCGAAAAAUAAGUCACGAUUAAUUAAUUGACGGCUUAAGUUAAAGCUCAUAGUCAAUAAUUGGAGUAACAGCAUGAGAAAAGACAAAAUAGAACACUAGCACGUUGGUAACCUAGUUGGAUGACACAUCAUCUACAUUUAAUUAGGAGAUUUUUAGCCUGAUUUAAAAUAUCAUUUUAUAAAUAUUAAAGAGGAUCAUAAGUACAUAACUUAUCCAAGAACCAACUAUCUUGAAUCAUAUAUGACUUUUACAAGAUAAACGUUUAUGUUUGCCCUAAACCACUUGAUGUGUGAACAAGGAAUUCGAUCUAGACUCCUCUAGAUCAUAUGUUGCAUGCAUCAUCCUUGCAUCUCAAUGUGCAGGCUCCCCUGUGAAAUGCCACAAACAAAGUGUUCAACAUCACACACCACAGAAACGGGGUACUUAGUGAAAAACUUUCUCAACACAUAAUUUUGCUGCACAUUUGUUACACCUCUAUCUUCAACCACAUGCAGCAAACAUCACACGGCCACAAUCUUAUAUUUUUUAGGUAACACGUCAUAACAAAACAAAUGCCCAACUCUAUUAAUUUAUUAAUAAAUAUUAACCAACUUAAAAAAGUAUAUAGUAACAACCACAACCAACGGAAUAUCUUUAUUAAUAAUAUAAUAUUAGUCAUAUAUUUAUUAAAAAAUAUUAGCAAACAUAACAAUCAAAUCUUCAAAGUCAACGAGAUAUCUUUAUUAAUAAAUAUUAUCCGUAUAUUUAUUAAUAAAUAUUAACCAUAUAUAUUAAGAAAUUAAGCUCCAAUUUUUCCUACCUCAGUUACAAAGUUAAAGCUGAAAUGGGUGAUUCCUAAACAUUGUAAAUAUGAAAAUCACAACCUAAAUCUUUAACAAAUCUAACUCCUUUACUCCUCAAUUCAAUUAGAAUCAUUGUUGUCAUUAUUAUCACUAGGAGUAGAGGAACCAAACUUAGAAGUUCGUUCGUGAAGGACGACUGGGCACGAAGGGCAGCACGAAGACACACACAAUUUGCUCGGCAGUGGUGGUUCGAUGAUGGAAGAGAGUGAUUAAGAAGAGAGGGUUUGGGUGAGAAGUUUAGAGUGAGAUGAGAUGAGAGGGAAGAAGAGUGAGUAAAGUGAUUAGAAGAGAAUUAAUUUUUUUAAAAAAAGAUUAAGGAUAGUUUUAAUGUCAGUUUUAAACCGACAUUAAUUCUUCCUUUUUGAUGUUGGUUUAAAAUCGACAUUAAACAUUUGCAUUUUUAAAAUCUGAUAUUAAACAUCUGUUUUCAUUUUUUUCAACUGACAUCAUAGGGCAAAUUUCUUCUAGUGAUACCAAUUUUAAUUCUAACUUCCCUAAGCAGGUGUUUGCGGCGAGGAGUGACUUGUAAUAGUUCUGAGAAUUAUAAUAAUUUGAGUAUUAUAGUAGUCUGCAUUUAGGAUACAGACUAUUAUAGUCUGCGUUUCAGGUGCAACCUAUUAUAGUUUGUGUUUGUGGUGAAGAUUAUUAUAAUUAUUUGUAUAAUUAUAAGCUGUGUUUAGGGUGGAGACUAUUAUAACUUGGGUUUUUUGCUACUUUUUUUUUCUUCCUUAAAUUGAUUUUAUUAAAUCUUUUUAAUUAUGAUAUUCAUUUAAUAAAUUUAGCCUCAAUCUUGAUUUUUCAUUACUUUUGUUUUCUACAUGUAUACUCUACAUGAAAUACACAUUUUUCUUAAAUUAACUUUAUUAAAUCUUUUUAACGUGUGAUAUUCAUUUCAUAAGUUUAGCCUCAAUCUUGAUUUUUCAUUACUCUUUUUUUUCUACAUACAUAUUGUACAUGAAAUACAUGCACGAAGGAGUGAGAGGGGAAGUGAGAAGAAUUAGGGGAGGGAAAUACGAGGAUUAUGGAAACCCUAAUACUAGAAUUUCCAUAAUUCGGGUCUCAAACAAGGAGUGAGUUAUUUUAGCCAACUCUACUCCAUGCAAAUAUGUGGCCCUAAUAAUUUCCUCAUAUCUUUACAUUAUGGGUAAUUAUAAUUUGUGACAAUUUUAGGAAUAAUAAUUAAAUAUCUAGCAACAUUUUUUUAAAAAAUUGCAUAUAUGGCAAAAUCUAUUAAUGAUAGACCAAUAUUUGCUACAUGAUCUAACAGAUGUUGCUAUAUUUACAAAUACCAACUCAAAACGCUCAUCCCUACUCUACCUCACUCUAAUACCCACCCUAAAUGUCUCAUAAGAAUUUAGAAAGUGUUCAUAUGAGUUAAUAACAAGAUGUAUAUAGAAAAUGUUCAUAGUAAGUGAGAGAAGGAUGUGUGUCAAUGUGUCAUACAAUCUUCUCUAUCUAGAGAUGUUUAAAAAAACCCAUGGGGUUGGGGUCCCGCCAGGUGCCAGCUCGAAAGAGGUGGGGAUUUCCUAUUUACAUAGGAAAUAGGGGAGGGAGUAGGGAAUGUUUUCCCCAUUUUCAAUUCGAGACCAAGGAUAGAGAUUAUAUUCCCCAUCUAUAAGACCCAAACUUAAAUUAAAAGUUAAAAGACAAAAUUUUGACUAAGUAUGUAACUUGACCUUUUGGAUAAGAAGGCGUUUUAGUUUGAGAAAAGCACUCACAAAACUUUACAAAAGAAGUUCUUCUUCUUCUCACAAGCCCCUUCUCGUGUAGCUAAACUAGCAAUACUUCAACAUUUCAACAAAACUUCCAUCUUCCCCUCCUUAGUUGCCCAAAUCCUCUUAUUUAUAGAACCCUUAAACUAACUUAGUCAUUUAUAAACUCUUCUCAGUUCAUUAACUCCUGCUUAAAAAUUUACAUGUAUAAAUUUAGUAUUCAACCUAGCCAUGCUUAAAUUCUUAAUCUUACAUAAUCCCUGUCAAAUCAAAUUUUACAUUUUCUACGCCAGACCUUGCUUCUCGCCAAACUCGAACCGCGAAUAACUUCAACCACUUAACAUUUCUCGUGAAUAACCUUAUCGCAUGGUUAUAUUUUUACUAUAAGAAACCUUCUUGCAAACUAACCAACUUUUACUCGCAUGGAACUCUUAUCGCGAACUUAAACUCUAAGGCUUUCUUGCAAACUUCUUCUCCACGAAACACUUGGUUCUUCUCGUGAAGACCACCCAAAAUGCCUAGUCUAACACUUUGUCAAAACUUUUACUUCUUAACUUACGCGAAUAUUUUUUCUCUUCUUAUCACACAACUUCUUUCGCGAACUACGCACUUAAUCGCAAAAACGUAUACUUAUCCAUAAAAGAUUCUAUCGCUUAAUCCUUUUCGCAAAUUUAUUCAAACGCCAACUUCUUAAUAGUACUUUAGCCGAAUUUUACUUUCUUACUCAAAUUAGAAAUGGGUCUCACAAGUGGAAUGAUUUGAAGUUAACGAAUGUUCAUUAGCUCGGUUUAAAGAGUUUAGCUAGUUAAUCUUGGAUCGUUGGAGUCCAUGAUCUAUAAGUCCAUUAGGAUCCCCUACUAGCUCAUAUGGAAUAUACUUAUAAUAGUAUAUAAGAUUAAUUCAAAUUAUUUGAAUUAAGAAAGGAGAGUAAAAUCGAGUAUAUAUGGUAUAGUUGUUGGUUCGUUUAAGUGAAUAUUUAACUAAUUAGUGGAUUUGAGUGUUGGUCGAAUUCGGUAUUUUGGUUUUAGACACCUUAUUUAAAGUUAUGUCUCAUUUGUUUAUCUUUAUUUCUUUAAAGAAUUGUCAGAACCCGCGAGUCACAUUUUCAAAUUAUUUUUAUUGAUUUUGUCAAUUUUAUGUUUUCAAAUAUUUAUUAAUAUUAAUUUUAGAAAAAAUUUAGUUUUUCCCUUUUCAAGAAAGUGUAUUUUGAUAUUUAUUGUUUGAGUAAUAACCUUAGCUUAGUUUAAAAAUUUGGAUUGUUACACCUAGCUCACUAACAUAUAAUGUUUAAUGAGGUGUUGGAGUUUGGUGAAUAAUUACAUACAAUUGUUAUAUGUAAUUUCUUUUUUUAAGGUGGGCAUUUUCAAAUGUUUAAAAAAGUUUUUGAUAAUUUUGUCUAUUUCCCCCUUAAUAUUCAUCAAAAGAAAAAAAAAAAACACCAAAUCUCUUAGAAGCUUAUAUUAUCCUCCUCUUUUCAUCUCUCUCUCAUUUUAAUCCUUCACUCAUCGGGUCCCAUAGCCCGAUUCUAAGUCUAGAAGAUAGUCGGUAUACUCUAGUGGCAGGUUGGUGUCGAUUUCGUACAAAAUCCACAAAUAAUAAAAAACAACAAAGGUAUAAUUUUUAUUAACCCUAGUUAAGUAAAUUAGGGUUCUUGGACAUUGAUUCUUAUUAAUUUAGAUGCAAUUAUAGUGUAAUUAUAUCUAUUUUCCGCUGAGUAUGUCUAGACUUCUAUUAUUUUGUGGCGAGUGGUUGAACUUGAACGCCUAGUCCCUCAAAUGGGCUCUUAGUAAAGUUUUUUUCACCUCAAAGUUAUUCUUUCCUCAAGUCCUAAGUUGGCUAACUCUUCACACACACUUCCUUAGUUCUUUUACCUAGUACAAAGCACACGUAAUGACCCAACUCUUUAUACUGAGCUAAAGUCAUUACCAAUAAAACAAAUAAAACUUUUUUAUUUAAAAUAAAAGAAAAUACUAAGUUUUAAAAGAAACACUUCAAAUAUUAAAUCAUAAAAUAUAAGUAAAGUAUGUAAAGAAAAUAAUAAAUGAAACAUUAGUUCGGGCCCUAUUUAAUUUUUUUUAAAAAAAAAUCUCUAAAAGUAAACAUGAGUUCUGAAAAAUAAAUACUGAAAACAAUAAAUGCAGAACAAAACUUAUAAUGUCCUCUAUGGCAAACCACAGUCACUUCUUGUCAUUCUUCAUCUUGUCUUUACCUUUAUCUUUGCAUGAAAAAUUUAACCAUAGAAAAGAAUUAAUAUAAAUUUAUACUCAGUAAGGAACCCACUAUUAGUCUCGCUACGUGUCUAUUAACUUUUCGUUAGAGUCCUGUAAGAAAGUACCGCAUAACUAUUGUGCAUGCUAUCUAGUGAUCCCGUAGGAAAACAUCUGGGCUCUCAGUGAAUCACGAAUGAAUCACCCUAAAGGAGAGUUGGAUUGUAAGUGAUCCCGUCGAAUCACACAUAAAAGUUGGCCACACAUGCAUAAAUAUGUGGUGAUCUCGAGGGACACCCAUAUGAUACGACUCUAACAGACAAAGCUAACAGAACACCAUAGCCUCAUGUAUAUUAUAACAUAAAUAUUACAGCUCAGUCAACAUAUUUCAAUCAUAGCAUGUCUCAUUCAUAAUGUAUCUUGGUCAAAUCAUAUCUCAGUCAUACAUAACAGUCAUCUAUGUAGCCACUCAUAACAAUCAUCUCUAAUACCCAUAUUAUGCAUCUUAGCUACAUUAAUGCAUAAUAAGAAAUAUACAUGCAAGCAGGUGAAUGUAUAAUAGAAUAAUCUCUUACCUAGAGAUUAGCUAAAAAAAAUAUUGUCCCUUCCUAAACACAACAAAAUUAAAUUUAUUAAUUUUGUCAAUAUCACCCAACUACUUAUACUUAAUCAUUCAAACUUAUCCAACUUACCAAAGCUAAGGUUGAAACCGACACAACUUUGAGUGUAAAUUUCGUCGCCUUAAAUCCUCAAAUUAACACUUGAACCUUCACGUAAAAAUAACUCAACUCAUUCCCAACGAAAACUUACCAAACCCAACAAAACUUACCUAAAAGACUCAAGUAGGAUGAAAUGGUUGACUUAAAGAGGGCAGCUCGCGAUUGGAAGAGAGUGGAAGCUGGAGGAUGGUUCACGCGGCUAAAAGACGGCUCGAAAUGGAAGGUGGUCAACUUAGACGACUACGACUUGUGAAGGAGGAACGCACGACUCGGACUUGAAGAGGCUUUGGCCGGAGAGGUAACACAGACGAGAAGACGACACGACUGGAGAAGAUCAGCUCGAACAGAAAAGCUUUGGCUCGCGUACAAAGGGUGUUCCAAUCAACGAUGAGCGCAUACAUUUCAGCUUCUCCGUCCGAUGUGCAUAAAAAUAUUUAUGCGUCAGGGCAAAUAUGUCGGGAGAGGAACUCCCAACUCACAACUUGUUGUGCGUCGGAAAUUCCUAAACCCAACAUUGUAUGAACGUCAAAGAUGUUGUCAAUAUAGUGUAGGAAGUUCCUACGAACUCCCGACGCAAAUGUGUAGGAACUCCCAACACAAAUGUGUGGAAACUCCCGACGUAAAUGUGUAGGAUCUUCAUUUGCGUCAGGAGUUCUCUAUUUUUCUUUUUUUAAAAAAAUAUCUUCCAUCUCAAGUUCAACACUUGAAUCUCAAAUUCACCACUUCAAUCUUAACUUCAACACUUCAAUCUCAAAUUCACCACUUCAAUCUCAACUUCAACACUUCAAUCUCAAAUUCAACACUUCAAUCUCAACUUCAACACUUCAAAUUCAAAUUCCUAAAACCUACAAACUAAUCCAAAAAUUCUAACAACACUUCAAAUUCAGAUACAAUACUAAAACGUAUAACUAAUUCAAAAUCUAAAUACUAAAACUAAUUUGAAAUCUAAAACCUAAAACUUAAAACUAAUUUGAAAUCUAAAUACUAAAACUAAUUAACUAAAACAAAAGAAUAACUAAACUAAACCACUUACCGGAAUGAAGAGUGACGACGAGACGACGACGAAUGGUUGGACAAGGACAACGGCGACAAAUGCCCUCUUCUUCUCGAUCUCCCUCUCUCUCUCUCUCUCAGUUUUCUUUCUCUUUUCUGUUUCUAUUUUGUAAAGAAUUGAGUUAAAAAAGACGGUUAACUCCCGACACACAACGAAAACGUCAGGAAAUGGGCCCUUAUUCUCUACGCGAUUAGUGACACAUCGGGAAUCCCUAAACCUUAUUCUCGACGUUGUUGACACCACGUUGGAGGAAGACAUAACGUACAAUUAAUGAUAUGUCCUUCCUCCGACGCAACACUAUAGACGUCGGGAAUAGGUGCACAUUUCCCGAUGCACCUGGCACCACGUCAGAGGAAGGUCAAAUGGUACAAUUAAUUGUCCACCCUCUUUCGACGCUACACUUUCCAUGUUGGGAAUAGGGGUCCAUUUUUCGACGUACCUCAUACCACGUCGGAGGAACCUUAAACCAUUACGAUAGUUUCGAUGCUAAUAUGUCUGCGUCAAGGGAAAUACCCUUCCUCGACGUGCACUAAGAUGCACCGAAAAACACCUACUUCUACUGACGUCAUGUUUCUCGAUGAUUUUUUCUGCGUCGGAAAACAUCUAAUUUCUUGUAGUGAUAUCAUUCAUUUGAAACCAAAAGCAUGAAGUUUACAUUAGGGAAUUUAAAGAAUUCUUAUGCUAAAUUAGCCUAUUCAUAGGCUUCUUUGAAAUUUGUUUGUCACCACCUACUUAAUUAAGUUGAUGCUUAACCUUAGUUGGCUAUGUGUCCCCACUAAACCGACUUAAGAGGUUUAGCUCAACAUCUAGCCUACCAACUUACUUUGGUCGCCUUGUCCACGUCUUACACCAUUGGCCGCAUAGUCUCGUUUAAGUCAGCUAACCCUCAUGUGGCAUGACCCUUCCUCCUUCCAAAUUGGCCACCUAGUAAGCAUAUCCUCCUAACUUUAAUCUCUUUGAAGAUACUUAGCCUUGUGCCAUAGUCCUCACUUUGGUCUCCUAACUCACAUACUUAGGCCGCCUAAGAGAUACUUAGUCCCAGCACAACCUUCAUAGUAUGAUCACCUAACACUCCAAGGACCUAGCAUCUUCUUGGUCGUUCAACUUUGUUUUGGUUGCCCUUUGGCUAUUCACUUUGAAUGUCAUUAGCCAACAUCUUGACUACAUACUUAGCCAACUCUAUACUCUUGAUCACUCUUUGUUAACAAUACAUGUCAUCAACCUAUAUAUAUAUAUAUAUAUAUAUAUAUAUAUAUAUAUAUAUAUAUAUAUUUAUUUAUUUAUUUAUUUAUAUUUAUAUUUAUUAUUUUACCUUGCUAUGGAUGUUAACACAAUUUGUCUGUUCUAUUUUAUUUUAUUUGACACUUCUGAUUUGUUUCAAGAUUUUAAUUUUUUUUAAAAAAAUAAAAAUAGUAAAGGGUAGAAAAACCCGAAGGGAUGCGGGAGAUUUGUGUUUUGGAGGAAAAAGAGAAUAAACUUAGUUUUUAGUAAGGGUGUAAGAAUAUGAGUUGAACCCAAAUAACCCAGACUAUCCAACCCAUAUUAUAAGAGUUGGGUUAGGUUAGGUUAAAAAAUUUUGAUUUUUUUUUGGUCUGGUUGGGUCUCGGGUUGGAGGUUUGAAAAAUUCGGUUUAACCCAACCCAACCUGGUCUUUCUCCCAUCGCACGCGCCGCUCACCUUUCUUCACUAUCUUCAAUUCUUCUCUUCUAUCUCACCCCAGUCUUCGAUCUUCUCCCUCACAAUCGCGUCGUCCACCUCUGUUUCCGACGGUUGAUCAUCUCCCUCUUCGGUUUCCUCUCUCCCUCUUCGAUCUUCUCCCUUACAAUCGUGUCAUCCACCUCCAUUUCCCUAAACCCUAAAAAAAAAAGACAUAUAUCAAAUCCAACUCAUAUUUUACGGGUUAGGUUGAAAACUAAAUUCGGGUUGUCAACCCAUAUAACUCAAAAAUAUGGAUUGGGUUGAGAAUGUCUCCCAACCCAACCUAACCCGAUUACAUCCCUAGUUUUUAGAUUUAUAUGAUAAAUGUGAUGAUAAUGUUCCUAUAUUUGCAUAAAAAGUUUAUAAAAUAAAUUAAUAAGAAUUCAUGAUUAUUUAUCAAUCUUAGUAAUACAAUGGAUCUAGAUCCAAAUCAUUCAAAUAUAGAAAUACAUCUUAACCAAUUAAGAGGAUUCUAACAACAUGGAUAGAAGUAAAGUAAGACUUUUUUUUUUUUUUUUUAAAUUUAAAAAAAUUUAGAAAGCAACGUAAAGCCAAAAUACGAUUUUAAUUUCUACUUUUUUAUAAUUGACUGACCGGUUGUUUUGGUGUCCAGAUAGAGAAAUUCGACUAAACUCAACCUGGUUUAAUAUAUAUACUUCUUAGGGUUUUGACAUUUCCCUCCAUUUCGUCCUCUGUUCACUCCCAACCCAAAACGCCGUUCUCCGCCAAUUGCCGCCGACCACGCCGUGCUCCUUUCAAUUCAUUGUCCGUCGUCUUGAGCGUGGGCGUCCGUCGAACUGCACCCCAGUCAUCCACCGUUUGCCCUUCGUUGCACCUCCGCUCGCUGGCGCGUACUUUCCAAUUUCUUUUAGUUUUGAGUACAUUAUUCGUCAGUCACCAUAAAGAAUCAAAACUGCUGAUGGACCCGACCCCUCCACUCCGUAGCACUGCAGCCCCCUCCGCGAAUUGCGUUCCAUCUGUAGCAACUGAACGCGAUGCCCUAUUUCCUAAUUCCACUCUCUAGGUAUUUAUUUCUUUCAAUGUUCGACCACGCUAGCAAAUUCUGCAGUCUUUUGCUUUGAAAUUGAAUUAGUUUUUUAAUUUUACUUAUCUGUAUAUAUCAACUGAUUAGAUCCAUUGGUUGUUAUGACCUUACUCUUGUUGUUUCCGAACUUAACCCUGAAUGUCAAUCCUCAAGCAGGUUGAAUAAUUUGAAUUUUUAAUCUUAAGGACAUUCUCCUUUGAAAUUCAGGCAAACAAUCCGUAGAAUGAUCCUGUUUUGCCUUGGCCGAUGACUGUGUGAGGUUUUCUUUUAUGGCUGAAGCUUAAAUUCGGUGUCUAGCCUGUUUCUUUGAGUUGUUUUACAUUCUUUAACCAAGAAAAUGGAAUCCAGUGCAACUCCUGGACCAGAUGAUCCUUUAAUUCUCAAAGAGCAAGAUAAUCACAUUUCAUCAGACAUUUGGGAUGGAAAGGUAAUAGACUUUUAGAUUUUUUGGAGCUUUGAUCAAUGAUAUUGUAUCCAUUUUAUAACCCAGUAUAUAUAUGUGUGUUUUUGUGUAUACAUAGGUUGAGAUAUAUUUUUACUGUUAUGCAUUUAAAAAAUUGCAGGAAAGAGGUGUGCUUAGGUGUCUAGAGCAUACUUCCAUUCUUGAGAGAUGGAAACUUACAGGAAAACAGAUUGAGCUAGUUGAAAAGGCUGGAUUCGGGUAUUUGAGAUUGAUGCCAGCUGUAACCCUUGACUGUGCGCUUAUCUCAGCAUUAGUGGAGAGAUGGAGAAAGGAAACAAAUACCUUUCAUUUUUCAGUUGGAGAAAUGACAAUAACACUUGAAGAUGUUGCUCUUCUACUCGGAUUGUCAAUUGAUGGAAAACCUGUUACAGAUGUGGAUGUUGACCCCAAGUCACUUUGUGAAAAUUUACUCGGGAAAGCUCCAACAGAUUUCAAGGGUGCUGUGAAAUUAACUUGGUUGAAGGAGGUUUUCUCUGAAUGCCCCGAAGAUGCAGGGAUCGAACAAAUAGAGUAUUCUACUCGUGCAUAUCUCUUAUACUUGUUAGGCAGUACUAUAUUUGCCUCAACAAGUGGGAACAAAGUUAGUGUCAUGUACCUUUCACUAUUCAAGGAUUUUGAUGAAGCUGGGAAGUAUGCUUGGGGUGCUGCUGCUUUGGCUUUCUUGUAUAGAGCACUAGGCAAUGCUUCUCUUAAAUCUCAGCGCACUAUUAGCGGUUCUUUAACACUUCUGCAGGCAUGUAAGCUUGUUGCUCUUUUCUUUUAGUGUUCACGAAUGUUGGUAACUUAGGGUCAAUGCGACUAUCAUUAUCUUGCAUCUCUGAAAUGUCGUGUUCUCAUUAAAAUGCUGACACCCUAUCUGGAUUUUUUUUCCUCACCUACAUAACAGUGUUGGAGUUAUUAUCACUUGAAUAUUGGCCGGCCCAAAUUAAAAAAGGAUCCAGAGAAUUGUUUUCCGUUUCUACUUAAAUGGACGGAAAAUAGAAGUGGUUCCCGAAUGGGAAUAAAUUUGCCCACAUACCGUAAGGCCUUGGAUUCUCUUCAGCCCUCUGAUGUAAGUUUCCUAUAAUACUUCAGUAUUUCCCCCUUCUGUAUAAUAGAAGAUUGUAUGACUUUUUUGUUUAUUCAAUAUAUAGGUACAAUGGCUUCCCUACAAGGAUAUGGACUUUUCUGUUGUACCAGAAGAUAUCAAGAACAGUUUGGUCUUGCGCACGUCAAGAACAAUGCUAAUUUGUUUUGAUAAGGCUGAGAAACAUCUUCCAGACCGAUGUUUGAGACAGUUUGGCCUGCCUCAACCUAUUCCGAAGGACAUUGAGGAUUGGAAGCGGAAAAUUUCUUCAAUGGAUAGCAAGGAGGAACUGCCACCAGAGCUCAAAGAAUGGUCAGAGAGGUAUGAAUUUAUCAAUAAUGGUGUUGAUAGUGUAGACGAAAGUGAGUAUCUGCAAUGGUAUGAAAAGAUCACCCGCAAAUUUGUUGGACGAGCCGAAUCGUGGGAGUCAAGAUUUAGACAAACAAUUAAGGCUAUGCAUGAAGUUGUGAAGAUAGUAAAUUCAAUCUCCACGAAUGGGAUGGAUCGAGAGGAUCGCAAGUUAUUCAGUAAUGUGAGAACUAUGGUACAGAAAUGUUGGACUGAAAAAUACGCUGAUUCACCCAGUGAAGGGGAUAGGGAUAGUGCAAAACGUACUGGGAAACGUAAGAGAGAAGGUUAAUCAAAUAUUGAUGAUGGUUAGUCUCCAUUCCCCUCUAAAAGCCAGGGUUCUAUUGCACUUUCAAAUAUUGUUAUUCAGUAAAGACCCAGAAAAUGCCAGUGUGGAAACAUUUUGACACUUGAUAAAUGUAUGAGGCAGUUCUUGGGAUGGCUCAGUUUAUAAAAUCUUAAUUUGCCUAUGCUCUCCGGACGAACAAUGGAGCUGGGGCAAUUGGGAUAUUCCUACAAGAGUUUUCGGGCAAUUGGGAAUCAGUAGACUUCAGUAGACGUUUGAUGCAAAGUUUUGGAAACUCUCCUCUGCAAUGCAAUUGAUCCGGUACUCUUCCUUGUUUUUCCUUUGGAAGAGCGAAUAUUCCAAGGUACACCGAGGUAUUGGAAGUUAUUCAUUGGGUGACCUUUUCCAAUAAAUGGUUAAUUGAUGAUCACUAGAAAGCACUUCUUUUGUUCAAUUUAUAACUUGGGAGCAGAUUCCUUCUUUUUGUUGCUAAGAAAUAUCCAACUUGAAUAUAAAGGGGUUAAGACUUGUGUCCUGGACCAAGAUGUUAAGACUUAAGUUUGAAUCUCCUCUUACAUGGAUGAGCUUUUUAAAACUUGUUUUUAGCUUUCAGCAUGUGUAGCCUAAGAAUUCAAAUAUGAACAAUUCAAAUAUGAACGCGUCAUUGGCUUAUGGCCUGUUAAGUGAAGGACUUUCAAAGGACUCAUUUUUAUUUAAAUUCUUUUUAAAAUAAUCUUUGUAAGUGUUUAGAAGUUAUUUGAAAUAACUUAUUAUUCAUCACUCAAAGUUAAAUUAAACACCCUCUUAGUUUCAGCUCUGGAAGUUGAACUUUGAAAACAUUUGUAAGAAGAUUAUGAUACAUAAAAAAAUCUACUUCAACUUUGGUAGAUUGAACUAUGGUUCAAAUAUUAUAUGAUUGAAUCUUCACAUUUUUUGUAUUCCAAGUAUAAUCACAUUUAUGAAAUGCUAAUGUUAGAUAUGAAACACCGGUGAAUUCUUGUAAUUCUAAUUAUAUUUUAAAUAGUGAUUUUAAACCUAUAAUAAAUAAAUAUUGUAUAUGUAACUAUAACUUCUAGUGCAAUCUUGUAGUUUUAAUUAUUUUGGUAAUUUUUAAUCUAUAAUAAAUUGAUAUUAUACAACUAAGAAAAGUCACACAAAAUAAUUGUGAAAUCACACGAAAUAAUGGAUUGUUUCACCAUAUUAAUUAUUACUUUUACGUAUUUUGUUUUGCUUUUAACCUAGCAUGUUAUAAUUUUAUUGGAAGAAUCAAUUUACCAAUUCGUGCGUAGAAACCUCAACCUUCAAUAGAUGUCAAUAGUUGCACUUAAUAAAAUUGAAAAAGGAACCUUUAUUGUCUCUGAAAGAUCAUUUUUAUUGUUGACACUUCAAAAGCAAAUAUGAGAGAUGGAUAAUUCUCACAUAAAAAGAAGUGUUAUGAUAAAUGCUUGUCGAAUUACUGUCUUGAAAGCAAUUACGGUAUGAUCAUGAUGUAACGUGCGCUCGCGAUGAUGUGGAUAUAAUCAAUUGAAGUGUAAACAUCCAAACUUAGCUACUAUAUGUAACUUUUGUAAUACCAGUAAAAAUCUGUUAUAAUAAGUCGUGAUAUUUAUAAUUAGUUGUGAUUAUUUAAACGUUUAUGAAAUUCCUAAGUGUUAAAGGGUAAAGUGUGUUGGAUUGAAGUGAAGUUGGUACGGAAAAAAGGGUGACAGGGACGCAUUCAAGAGACACAGGAGAAUAAUUAAUUGAAAACAUGUGAUGGAAUUUACAAGGAUGGAUUGAACAUUUAACUCAGAAAACAAAAGCAAGAGAUAAACAAAAAUCAAAGUAAAUGGUAAUAAGUUAAAUAAAAUAAUUUAAUUAAGCAAAAAGGGAUAUUUACACCAUUAAGUAAUUUAAUUGAGCUAGAAGUUAACGAGGAAGAAAACGAAGGUUAACUAUGCACAAAACAAUCAAAUUUUGAAGUAGGAGGUGUCAACUUCAUAUGCAACAUCAGCCUGCAGAAGAAGUUUAUUUAAGGAUAACCUUAGCCAAUUGUUCUGAUUUCAUUGGCAAGUUAAACUUGAGAGAGUGUAGUUUAUGUGAGUGUAAUCUCUCUUUUUUUUUUUAACAAAUGACAAAUACGUUUAUAGAGUUUCAAUUAUAUUUACUAGGUCAUGGCAUAUUCAACAUCUUUUAAAGCGAAUGAAUCAAUUAUAUGUACAUAAAUGUGAAUACGUAUAUUACAUCCUUAAACUUUGAUUAAGUAGAAAAAUAAAUAAAUAAAAAGUUUAGAGGCUUGUUAAUAGAUUUAAAAAUUUAUUAGACACAAAAUUAGAAGUUGAAUCGCGGUUAGAAAUUCUCACAUUAUUAUACAAAAAAAAAAGGAUUGUAAUAUAUAUCAAUUUAAAAUUUUUAAACAAUUACAUUUGUAUCAACAUAUUUUAUAAUCUAUUAUAUUUCGUUCAAAAAAUACUAUCACUCACAAUCAUACUAAUCAAACACGUGAGAGAAUUAAUGCAAGAACAAUAUUGAAAUAUAAACAUAAAUAAUGGAUCCAAUUGAUAGUACUUACAAAAAUUCAAGAGUUUAAUGAAACAGGAUUGUGGGUUGUAAGUUCUUUAAAAGUAAUUUACAUAAAUGGUUAAGUAAUUUACAUAAAUGUAACAAACCAAAAUUAUCAUGGCUCGUAUGAUAAUAAGUCUAUGAUACAAUAUUUUUUUUUUUUUUUGUAAAUUAUAUAUAUGACCUUUCGAUUUAUAUCUUCUUUACAAUUUAUUAAUCUUGAGUCAUCUCGGUGCAAUUAAGGUUCCAAGAUUGAAUAACUAAAGACAUGCAAAAGUCUUUCAUUUCGAGACAUCUCGAGGCAAUGUAUGUCCGAGAUCGAAUAAAAUAAAGACAAUUCUUUCAUCUUCGAGCCAUUUUGGUGCCACUAAGGUCUGAGAUCCAAUAUAACUAAAGGAAGAAUGCUUUCAUCUCGGGGCAUUGUAUACCCAAAAUCGAAUGUAUUAAAGGCAGAAUUCUGUCAUCUCGAUGCAUCUCUAUACAACUAAGGUCUAAUGUCAUGUAUUGUAAUCUACAUGAUCGUUUAAAUUUGAAAGUCAUCGUUUAAAAUGGAAGUAUAGGAUUGUGUAGAUCUACAUUUAUGUCUUUCAUCUCGAGUCAUCUUAGUGUAUUGUAUGCCUCAGAUCGAAUGAAUUAAAAGCAAUGUUCUUUCAUCCCGAGGCAUCUUGGGGCAUGGUAUGUCCAAGAUCGUAUAUCAAAAUCUACAUGAUCGAGCGUAUGUGGUUGAUUUAUCACGAGUUGACAUGGGUAAUUAUGGUACUUUACAUUGUGGGCCUAUGGAAUUUUUUCAAUUUUCAAAAUUGUUUUAUAUAAUAUAAAUAUUUUGCCAGUUUGUUAUAUUUUUUAAAAACUCUAAGUUUUACAUAGUGAAGUUUAAAUUGAUACAAUUAUUAGUCUAUGGUUUAAAUUGAUAUGACCUCAAAGUUUAAAGUUUAAAGGUUAAUUUUCUUAAAUAUAACAAAACACCAAAAUAUUUAUGGUCAAUAUAACAAAAACGAAAAGCCCAUGAAGUCAGUAAAAUAUUUUGUAAAUUCUAGAUUUGCUCUUGAUAUUUUGAACGAUUCAUCACUUCUGUUUUUUCUUCUUCUUUGCAAUUUAUUCAUCUUCUCUUUCAAAUUUCUUCAGCUCAUCUUUUCAUAUUUUCUUUCUUCUAUUUUUAUUCAUCAUCUUUUUUUCUUUCUUUCUUCAAGCUCAUCUUCCAGAAUAUCAAGAUCGUUUAAAUAUCACUAUGAUAUUUGAUAUGAUCUAAACGAUCGCCUACCUAGUCAACAUGAUCGUUUAGAUUUGAAGUCCUUUUCACAUCGUUUAAAAAGGACUACAUAUUUGUGUAAAUAUGAUCUAAGCAAUCGCUUACCAUAGUCAACACGAUCAUUUACCAUGAUCAACAUGAUUGUUUAGAUUUGAAGUCCUUUUUCCAUCAUUUAAAAUGAACUACGCGAUCGUGUGGAUAUGUUCCAAACGACCGCUUACCAUAUUCAAUAUGAUCAUUUAACAUGCAUGGUCAACACGAUUGUUUAGAUUUGAAGCAAUUUUUCCAUCGUUUAAAAAGAAUUAAUUACACGAUCGUGUGGAUAUGAUCUAAAAGAUCGUUUAGCGUGAUUAACACGAUCGUUUAGAUUUGAAUCAUUUUUCUCCUCAUUAAAGAAAACUACAUGAUCGUUUUGAUACUACCUAUAUGAUCGUGUAUCAAUUCCUAGACAAUCGUGUAUCAUGAUCGUUUAGUAGACGAAUUACAUACAAGCAUAUGAUCAAUUAAUCGCGUGUUGACUGGGAAUGGCGGAUCCAAAAAUUUUAUAUAGUGGGUCAUCAUGCACUAUAUAAUAUCACACUAAAAAUGUUUAAAAAAAAGAUUUCGACAUUUCGUUGAUGCUCCAAUAACGACAUUCACUACAUUUAUAGUAAUAAAGAAAAAACUAGCAAUUUCCACGUCAUAUUUUGUAAUGUAAACGUGAAUUUAAAAAUUGCAUAAAAAAAGAUAAAGAAAAGAAUAAUACUUUUUUCAUAUAAAUAUUGUUGAGAGAGUGGAAAUUUAGAUCAUCAUCUUUGUUGCAUUUUUUUUCUAAAUACUUAUUAGAUAGCGAACGACCACUAGAAAAAAGUUAGAAUUUUAUCUUAGUUAGGUUUUGUUCAUUUUUUAAAAAAACUAUUUUAUAACAUUAUUGAAACUUAUCAAUAAAAUUGAAAUUUGGAGUCUUGAAUAAAUAAAAUUAUUGAAAUGUUACUGAAUUAACUUGUAGUCUUUAAUUUUGAAAUUAAAUUAAAUUAAUAUAUAAUGUGAAUUAAAAAAUUACACAAAAUGUUUUUUUCUAAAUAUUUGUUAGGUUAGAUAAGUUUUUUUUUUCUUUUUAAUUAUUGAUUGUUUGAAAUAAAAUUUAUUUUGUUACAAUUUAGAAAAAAAUUUAGAGAUUUAAAAAAAUAAUUGUAAUAACCGUUGAAGAGUGAGCCAACAACCAUUGUACUGUAACUAAAAUUUAGCUUAGCUAAAUUAAAGCAUUAUUUAACCUAUGUUUACGAUGAUAUUUCAAAAUUAAUAUUAAAAUAUAAAAACUCAUAAUAUGACAUCUUAAAAUUAAUAUUAAAAUAUAAAAAACUGAUAAUACAACCGCAGCAGUUGUGUUGUGGAAUAAAUCUGCCCAAGUAGUAUUAUUUUUUAAAAACCCAAGUUUAAAUUGAUAUUUUGCGGUAUUUUUAUUUGGUGAAGUUUACUAUUAUGUAAUGAAAUAUUCCACUUGCUCUUAUGUACAUAUCAAACUCAUAAAUGUGAGAAAGGUGGGAAGCUAAAGUUUAUACAAAAACCGAAAAUUAAAGAAUUAAAAAAAUGUGAAGAAUAAUGGUUACAAUGAAGCAAAUGUAGAAAGCGAAACAAUAACGUCAUCAAGCCAUCCCUCACUCACACAAGACUCAUACAAGUCGAAGCUGCCUUAGCCAAUACUCUAACCACAACAGAUCUAUACCUGAGAGGCUUAAUCAACCUCCACGGGCUGAUUCCGCUCUCGUACCCAUCCGCGGUGACAACACUUACCGUCGUCUCCUUCGGAACCACGUGGAACAUCGGGGUCGGUGCUAACCGAGCCUGUCUCUUCCGAAUCUCACUCAACUCUAUUCUCGACGGAGUUUUUGUUAAUCCUAUCAACGCCAUCGGCCUCCUCGAAUUACUCCGUUGAAUUUCAAAUAAUCCGCCCACUGCAGACGAAGAAAACGGUCUCGAUCCAUUUCCGUACCGAAAGCUCUGGUUUCGAAUCAACGAUGAUUCCGAUCUAUUUCUAGAACUUGCAGAGUCUUCAUCUCGGAAUAUGUCCAAAGUCCUCCCGCAGAAAACGAUUUCACUUGGAGGCAACAAUGAACUUGUUUUCCGCUUCAAAUCGGUGCGAAAUUCGAAGAAAUCUUGGCGAUCGUCGUGAUCACUGCAGGAAUCCCCGGCUUCCGAUUGUGGUUCGAGAAUUGGAAAAUCACGGAAAGAGAGAGUGUCUUCGUCGUCUUGAACGUCAAGGACGUCCAACAAAUCUGGAUUAUACUUCACUGACUCCAUCGAAGCAGAAAGAAUGGUUUUAGAAAAAGAAAAUUGCGGUGAAAUGAAGAUGAAGAUGGAAUUGGUGGAUUAAAUAAAGGGAGAAAGAGGAAAGAAGGAGGAUGCUUCCUUUGGAGAACUUCUGGAAGGGUGGAGAUUGGAUUUGAUCCACCAUGAAUUAUAAUAUGGUGUUUUUUUAGCUUAAGCGUGUAUGCCAAGAUUUUCAAUACGGAGACUUUCUAGAAACACACUUAAGACAAGAGACUCUCUAAUAAAACUUUUGUUGUAGUUAUUAUUAUUAUUUCUAUACAAUAUUUUAUUUUAUUUUUUAAAACUUUAUAGGUUUGAUUGAUUAAUAAAUUUACAUUUGCACUAUAAGUUAUAAAUAUUUGGUAACAAAGUUGUAAAUAUUUUAUAUAGGGCUUAGUUGUAAAUAAUUUGUCUAUUUUACUGCAUUCUACAAUUCCUGCUUAUAUAUAAUUGGAAGUCAUCUAUUAAAAAUACUUUUAGGAGAAUAGACUAACUAAUAAAUAUGUGAAGAGUUAGCAGUUGGAUGAUGUGUAUCCAUUGUAUUUAAUAGAAGUGGGGUUGACAAAAAAAUAAUUUUUAAUAAUAUAUAUAUAUAUAUAUAUGUAUGCAUGCAUGCAUGCAAAUACACAUACAUCUAUCAUCUAUAUAUAAUAUAUAUGAAAAGCUAAUAAAAAAAACAUUUUAAGACAAAUUUGUCCCUAUGCAUUUUAAUUAAUCAUAUAUAUUUUUUAAAAUUUGAAAUAAAUAAACGUUCUAGAAUUAGAUGUAUUAAAUUAAAAAAUUAUUAGGUAAAUAGAUUUUUAAAAAACCCGUAACUUAUAAUUGAAUGAUUAGAGUAAUAAUUAACUAGAAUUUAAUUUACUUUUAUAGAUUGAGCUUUAGGGGCCGUUUGGAUGAAGGGUUGAGUUAUGGAAGGGUUAGGGUUAUGAUAAAACUAGUUUUAUGAUAAAAGUUGUUUGGAUGAAGGGUUAUGUGAGUAGUGUUAUGAUAGUGUUAUAAUAAUAUGUGUUUGGGAGAAGGGUUAUGUGAUUUGUGUUAUGAUAGUUUUAUGAUAAUAUGUGUUUGAGGGAAGGGUUAUGUAUGUAGUGUUAUAAAAUUUAUUUUUUAUACAUUUUUUUUAAAAAUUCAUAUUCUAAAUCCAACCAAAAUUUUGUAUAUUUAGUUUACUAAAUUAUUAUAUUUUCGUCAAACAAUUUUCAAUAAUUUCUUUAAAUUUGACGUCUUUUUCCAACAUUUUUUAGGUUGUCGUUAUGUGCAAAUAAUUUAUUAACUUUUUAAAGAAAUUUUGUAUUCUAAAUCUAAUACACAGAUUUAUUUGACGUAAUUGUUACGUUCAAAUAAAUUAUUUAUCUAAUCGUUCUAGUUUUCGUAACACAAUUUUCCUUAAUUUAUUUAAAUACAAUAUGAACUUUUUUUAAGUAAUCGUUUCGGUUGAAUAAAUUACUAUUUUUCUUUUAAGGAUAAAACAUUCUUAGUUUUUUCUUAUCUCAAUAUUAUGUUUUUUUUUUUCUCAUCUUUUUAAAUUAAAGGAUUGUUGUUCUGGAAGCAACAAAAAUGAUAAAAAAAAUUAUAAUAAAUCAAUGAAAGAUAUAAAAAUAAGGAAGAAGAAAGAGAAAAAAAAAAGUACAUUUUGGAAAAAUAUAGCAUAAUUUGGUAAAAAAUUAGAUUUAAAAUUUAAUUCAAAUAAAUCUUAAAUCAAAUCACCAUUGAAUUCAUUUUUUUAAAAGGAAAAUUCUUAUACAUUUCAAGUUUAAAUACUUCCAAAAAAGAUAUUUGUUAUCUUAGUUAAUUUAACGUUAAAUCCUCUUAUUUGAUUUUAUUUUGAUUUUUCUAUAAGUUUAAUAAAAUUCAUUUUUUUAAAUUUAUUUAACUUAAAUUUAUCCGAAAUAGUUUAGAUACAUAUAGAUUAGUUUUAAAAUAAAAUAUUUGAAAAGGUAAAAAACAAAUAAAAGACAUAAAAUAAUAAAAAAAAAUUAAAGUAAAUACAAGUACUAAAUGCAUAAACUAAUCACAAUUUAUAUUUAUUUAAAUUUUAUUUUGUAAAUAAAAUAAAUUAAAAACAAAAUUAUUUUAAGAUUAUUAAAUUAAUUGAAAAAACAAAUGGCAUUUGAUAAAUAAAAGAGUAUUUUUUUUUAAGAAAAAAUGAAAUGGUAAAUUUAUGGAGAAUUGAAAAAGUAGGAUUAGAGAGGGCUGAAGAGAUUGAGAAGGAAGAGAGAGGGGAAGAUGAGUUAUGAUAAACCUAAAACAAGGGUUAUGAUAACCCUUCCCCAAACAAGGGUUGGGUUACCAUAAACUUAACCCAAAAGUGAUAAUCCUUCCUCCAAAUUUAAUAAGAAAAAUGCUUGGCUAAUAAUUAAUUGAAUCCAAACCUACCAUAUAAACACAAAAUUAUUUUAAUGCUUCUCACAUUAUAUGUCAAUUUUUACUUUUUGAAGAUUGAAGAUUGCUCAACAUGAAGAUAGACGAAUGAAAUUGUUCAUAAUAAAAAAAUAUUUGUUAAUUUAUAUUUUGGGUGUGUUUAUUAUAGUUUCUACUCUUUUUUUUUAAUAAUUCAACCGUUCAUAGUAUUUUUUUUUUUUUUUUUUUUGUCUAUAGAAGGUACAUAACUUCAUUUUCUUAAACUUUUAGUUUAUCGAAAAAGAAUGGAUUGAUGAAAAAAGUUGUGAUUAAUAAAGUUUGAAGUUUUUCUAAAAACGUAUUCAACCAAAGUAAUUACAAUUGUUUACAAAUUUAUAUCACACCAAAUCAAAAAUAAAAAUAAAAAACCUCUUUGCAUUUAAAAUUUUAUAGUUGUUACAUUUAUUACACUAUGUUUGAAGGGACACAACCACUAUACGAGAGACAAAAUUUAGUAACACUAGAGCAUUAUUUAAUAUAUAUUGUAAUUUCAAAAUUAAUAUUAAAAUACAAAUAAAAAAUGUAAGAGGGAGACGAGCCCCUACCUCUUAAUAAAUCCGUCCUUGUGUGGAAGACAUAGUCAAACUUAUUAAAUGUGUACGUCAAGCUUCCUAUCUUCCUCCAUAGGGGUUAUUUAAGACCAUUAUAAGUGCAUUUAUGUGUUUAUAUAGCUAGGUUUGUAUUUUUUACUUAUUAAUUAGUAUGCCCCUUAAAAUUUGUGUCAUAUUUUCUAACCGUAUUCAUUCUAGCCAUCUUUAUCGAACCAUAAUUAAAAUUAGUUUAUUCGUAAAAGAAUUUCAUUAGAUAGAUCAAUUAUAGUAAACUUAAAUCGUAAAUAUAAUUGAAUUACUUUUGAUCACAUUUAUUUAGAGUUAUGAAUCCUUCACGUCUACUAUUAUUGUUACCAUUUGACUCUAAGUAGGAUCAAAAUUGUGACUGUAACAAUUAAAUGUAAAGAUAAAAUAACAAAUGUCAGUUCAUAAUUAUCAUAUGAUUACAAUAACAAUAUCUUAAUAACGAUAACAAUGAAGGGUAGUUAGUUCAACAUAAUUUUUAAGCAUAAUUGGAUAAUUAAGCACGUUCCUUAAUCAGAUUAUUUGAUUUGAUUACAAAUUUGGAGGUAGGACCUACGAUUGUUCAUUAAAAUUACAAAACACAAGUAAACAACAACAAAGAUUAUUAACUCGGGCCAACUUUUUAUAUUUUCAUUUAUGAAUUUCGAUUGAGGUAAAUGUGGCCUUACUUGUGUUUAAAUGGUGUUUGAAUUGGAUCUUUGCACAACUCUUGACCUUUUAAAUGGCUUAGAUUAAUGAUAUUAAAACUGUGUGUUUUCAAGAAUUGUCACUUUGUUGUUGUUUUUUCUUUUUUCAAAUAUUGCUUUAGAAUUGAUAUUUAUUGAAUUAGUCUUAGUCUUAUAGUUCUCAAAUGAAUUGUCUUAGAUCUAACAAUGAUUUAUCCUUCUAACUUUGUUUUAGAUUUGUAAGUGUUUGCAAAAAUCUAAAUUAGUAAAUGGUUCAGCAAUAGAGCAAUUUAAUGAAUGAAUUUUAUUUGGAUUAAAUUUUUAAAUGUUUAAUGUAAAAAAUAAGUUAUUCGGUAAAAAGUUGGGAGUAUUUGAAAGCUACUUAAAAUAGUUUUUUAAAUGUAUUUUAAACCAUUUUCACAAAAAUGAGUUUAAAGAAAAAUGAGUCGUUUCUUGAAAAAAAAAAAAUCUUCAGUCAAUCCAAACGGACCCUAUAUCGUUAUUGUGAAUGUCAGUUUGAUGAAAAAGACUAUAAAAAGCAUGAAUAUAAGAGAAAAGUAUCUCUAUUGAUGAGCUAUAGGAAGGAUGAUUCGAACCUAUAUAAUUGUAUUCCAGAAACAUAUACGAGCAUCGUAUGAUUGUAAAACAUUAAUAAAGAUUCACUAGGUGUAAAGAAAGCCUCCAAUAAACAAAGAGAAAUUGCAUUAGAUGACAAUACUUUUAUAUAAAAAAAGUAUAUAUAUAUAUAUAGCUAGUUUUCUUAAAAGAAAAUAAACGUACGUUAGUUAGUUCAGAUAUUUGUAUAUAUAUAGUCUAAUAUGAAAGAUAUUGCAUUAUUUGAUUUGAACCUCCAUAUGUCACAUGGUUUUUAGUUAGAAAACAGAUUAAAUUGGACCUUAAUCUAUAAGAUAUUCUCAAGUCAUCUAACUCUAAAUAUAAUAUAAUUUUCCAGGAUGAAACCUACAAAAUCUAUAAGAUAUCCUCAAGUCUUCCCAACUCUCUCUAUAUAUAAAUUAAUAUCAUUUUCCCAAGAUGAAACCUAAGAAAACAAUCAAAGUCAUAAAAUGUAUCAAUAUGGUGUAGUAUUUUUCAAAUCAACUCAACAUUCAACAACUACACAUUUUGUCUUUUACAAUCCAUAUUUUAGGGGUUUUUUUUUUUGUUUGAGAAAAACAGUUUAAUCUAUCUAUAUAUGUACUUGUAUCUAUACUAUAUUAAAGUGUGAGAUUCAUGAGAAACAUUUUUAGUCUAAAUUAUCCUCCUUAAUUUUAAGUUAUUACAUUUAUGUAUCCUUACUAUAGUGUUUUUAAUUUUAUUAUUCAUUUUAGUUUUAAUUUUAAGUUAUAACAAGGGACACUUAAAAAAUAAAAAGAGGAAAAACAAGUAUUAAUAAUUAAGUCUAUAACACACAUUUAUUGUUUGUAAAAAUGAUAAAGACAAAACCAACCCACUUAUAUAAUAUGUGAAAUGCCAUAAAUGUCUUUGUUACUGAUAUACAUUUGAUACACUUGAUACGCACCUGAUACAUCUGAUACUCUUUGAUACACUUGAUAUACAUUUGAUACUUCUUGAUAACUUUUGAACCUUGAUACACACUUGAUGUACCAUGAUACUCUUUGAUUGUGAGACUCGUUUCUAAUUUGAAUAUAGGAAUUAAAAUUCGGUUAAAAGUAUUAAAGAAAUUGGUGUUUGAAUAAAUCUGCCGAAAGGAUUAAGCGAUAAAAUCUUUUAUGGUUAGUAUAAGUUUUGAGAAAAAGAGGGUUUGCAGUAGAAUCUAUAAGUCUAAACGCUCUAAAAAAAGUUUGCUUAAGUUAAGUUUUGACUAAAACGACUAGGCGUUUAGGUAGUCUUCACGAUAAGAACCAAGGGUUUCGUGAUAAAAAAGUAUGCGAGGAAGUCUUGAAGUUUAAGUUCACGAUAAGUGUUCUAAGCGAGUAAAAAUUGGUUAGUUCGCGAUGAAGGUUUCUUGUAAAAAUAAAACCACGCGAUAAGGUUAUUCGCGAUGAGUGUUAAGUGGUUAAAAUUAUUUGUGGUAUGGGCUUAGGCAGGAAGUAAGGUCUAACUAAGAAAAUGUCAAAUAUGAUUUGACAGGGAUUAACGUGUAAGGUUAAGAAGUUAAAGCAUGUUGGGUUGAGUAUUAAAUUCAUGUGUAAAGUUUUAAGCAGAAGCUGGCAAAGUGAGAAGAGUUUAAGCAUGACUAAGAUAGUUUAAGGGCUUUAUAAAUAGAGGGUUUGGUCAUUAAGUAAGAAAGUUUUAUUAAAAAAAAAAAAAGCUAAAAUGCUAUUGUUUUAAUUUGCUUUUGUGAGAAGGAAAAAAAAACAAAAUAUUAAGUACGGUGAUUUGUUCCGCGAGAAGGCUCCACAAGACGAGAAUGAAGAGGAAGAUUUUUGUUAAAGUGUGGUGAGUGGUUUUCUUCUUAAAAGUUUUGUGAUUCUGCUUUACUAUUUUAAAAGAUGAUUUCAAAUGAGAAAGUGUUUAAAAAAGAAAUUUCUAUGAAAAGAUUAUAUGUCUUCAAGCAUGAUUUAUAAUGUUAAAGCUUGAUUUGAUGAUUACGAUUUCCUAAGAAAUGAUUUUCAAAACAUUAGUUGAUUCCUUGAGAUAAUAAUAACUUUUAUGUUCACAUAAAGAGUCAAGGCCACCAUGGAGUGUAUGGACUACAUGGUGAUAAGAAAUUGGCUUAUGUGUUGAAAGGAGUGUAUAAAGCUCAGCAGUCUAAGCAACAAGGAUGAAUCUGUAUGUUCUCAGAUGUUGUUGAUACAGUAGUCAAACGCAAGGUAAUGAGACCAAGCGUAGAUAAUGAUUCAGGAUCCUUGGCGAAAGAAAUAACUAUUAACUAAUUUGUGUUUAUGUGAAAUUGUUGUGUUAUGAAUGUGUUUGUUAAGCAUAAAGAAAGAUUUAUGCGAGAUGAAAUGAUUUGAUAUUAUUUAUGCGAAAUGAUGUUUAUGGAAAUGUAUUGCGAAAAGGAUUUCAUAAAAUCUCACUAGUCUUUUAGACUUAUUCUUUCAAAAAUUCAUCUUUCAGGAUCAGACGUUUAGGCCAAGUAAAGAAGAAGGUUGAAGGAUUUGCGACGAAAUAACUCUAGACCUUUUGGAAAUGGUUAAACAUUGGUUAUUUGAUCAAAGUGUUGUAAUUAUGUAUCCAACGCCUGUUAUUAAUAAAAUAUACUUAUUUAUUAUAUUUGGCAUUUAGGUUGACCACAGUUGCAUUUUGAGUUUUGUUGAUAGUAUAAAAGGAGUUGAGAAUAAGAUUUUGCGAUAAAAAAGUUUCAAUAAAUGGCGAUAUGCAAUGUGUGGGAAUUUAAUGCUCUCCAAGCCGAAGGGACUUGGUCAUUAGUUCCUCGACUUCCAUCUAUAAAUGUUGUUGGUUGUAAAUGGGUUUUCCACACGAAAUAUAAUCAUGAGGGCUCUGUUGCUUGCUACAAAGCAUGACUAGUUGCUAAGGGUCAUCAUCUGGUACAAGGCUUUGAUUUUGAUGAAACCUUUAGUACUAUUGUCAAAAAAACUCACUAUACGAGUUAUUCUGGCUCUUGUUGCUUAAUGCAAUUGGCAUUUAACCCAGUUAGAUCAAAAAUGUCUUUUUUCAUUGUCUUCUCUAGGAAAUAGUUUACAUGUCUCAACCUACUAGCUUCCACCAUAAAACAUAUCCAAAUCACGCGUGCCUCCUUUAGAAGAGUCUUUAUAGUCUCAAACAAGUCCCUCGUUCUUGGUUUGAUCGAUUUACAUCUUAUUUAUUUACCCUAGGUUUUGUUGCUUCUACUGCCAAUUCUUCAUUAUUCAUUUAGUUUGUUAGGUCUUCUCUCACUUACUUACUUCUAUAUGUAGAUGAUAUUAUUGUCACUCUUCGUAUAUUUUUAUUCUCAAACAACAAUUGGCUCAUGAGUUCCAAAUAUCAAAUCUUGAUCCUUUAAAGUACUUUCUUGGUCUCAAAAUACAUUCCUCCACUGAUGCAAUUUUCCUUAACCGAGCCAAAUAUCUCACUGAUCUUCUUCACACCUCCAUAAUGUCUUUUGCAAAAACUUGUGCCACAUCAAUGUCUACUUUUAUUGAUCUUUAUACCACUACCCUGCCAUUUAAUGACCCCUCCUUAUAUCGUUGGCUCAUUGGUUCCUUACAAUACCUUACUUUUAUCUCUCCUAAUAGUACAUUCUCUAUAAAUCAUGUUAGUUAAUUUAUGCACAAACUCAUUGUUAUUCACUUCUUUGAAAUCAAACGCAUCCUCCGAUAUCUAUAUAGUACUUCGACCAUUGACAUAAAAUUUUUACAACUUCGUUAUCUCUACAAACCUUUUGUGACUCUGAUUGGGCUGGAGAUAUUUCUGAUUGAUAUUCCACCUUUGGAUUCAUUGGCUUCCUUGGUUCUAAUUCAAUAUCUUGAUCUUCCAAAAAGCAACCUACAGGUUCGCGUUCUUCCACAUAAGCAAAAUAUCGCUCACUCGCCACUACCACUACCGAUCUUUACUGGAUCCAAAAACUUCUAUAUGAUCUUCAUGUUCCACUUAAGUCUUCAACAACGUUAUGGUGUGAUAAUGUUUAUGUGUUUCAUGCUUGAAUAAACACAUUGAGUUUGAUUACCACUUUGUUCAAGAAAAAAGUAUUUUGCAAAAACAUUCAUUUGUUACAUCUCUUCCAACGAACAACUUACUGAUCUACUAACAAAGCCACUCUCAUCUCCAACAUUUCUACAACUUCGAGAUAAAUUGCUGACUCAUUCCCAGCGAUCCGUUUUAGGAAGGGUAUUAGAGGAUAUUUUUAGAUUCACAAUUCUCUCCACAAUCUACUCCUCAAUUUCUACCCUUCAAUUUUGCCUAAAUUAUAUAUUCGAUUAUAUUGUAAUAUUUCCAUAUUGUAAUCUCUUGAAUUGUAUAUUUAUAGCAAGCAUUGUAAAAGAAAUAAGAUAUGCAAAAUACAUUAUUCUAAAAUCCUUUCGGCCACUAUAAUUUAAAGCAUCAACAUGGGGCUUAAACAACCAAGCUUAAACAUGACUUAUAAUCAGCACAUCCUUAAUCAAAUAAAUAUUAAUUGAAAACAAGAUUAGAAGAUAAAGAGAUUCAAAUUAACUAACAUGAAGUUCAUACGUACUAAACCAUAACGAAGAACAAAAACGACUAAAAAUUUUAUCUAAUCUACGUGUUACUUUAUGGUUUUUUUCCAAAGUUUCACGAGUCAAGUAGUGUAGUUUUUUAUAGUAUUAUCGGAAACUUACAAAUUAAAGAUAAUGACAAAAAGAUUUAUCCCCCUAAUAGAGAAAAAACUGUAUCGAAAUGGUCAAUCUCAAUUUUGAAGCCAACAAAAAAAUGAUAGAGAAGUCUUGUAAAUAGCUUUAGAUUAGAGGGUAUAUAAGAAAAUUUCAUGGGAUUUAGAUGGUGAAAUUGGGCUUUGACUGGGCCAUAAAAUAAAUGGGCCUAGUGGCCCAUUAGGGGAUGUAAGAAAAUGAAAAAAAAAAAAAAAUUACAAAAACCAUGUUGCAGCUUCGAAGUACAGCAAGGGAAGAGUUUUUGCUUCUGGAGAAUGACGAGGGCCGCUCUCUUCCAUUUGCUACGAUCACAAUCCAAACAUAUCUCGAGAAGAAAUUACUAUUCAGGUAUGUUUCUUCUUCCUUCUUCCAUUUUCCAAUCCCUCCUUGCAAGAAUGAGACAUUUUUCUUUCUCAAGCUUUCAAUUCUGCAAUUUUCAUGCUCCCAGUGUAGUAAAGAAUGUUAAAUUUCUUGUUUGCUUCCGAUGAAUGCGAUUAGAAAAUAUUAACGUUAGCCUUUAAUGUUCUGAAAUUAUCUCAAAAUUAUUUUACAAGACCUCUUCGUGAAGUUUUAUGCCAUAUGAUAGCUUGUCUAGCUAGGGAUCUUGUCUUGAAUAAUCUCAUUUUGAUUUUAGGUUUGAGAUAAAUUUUACCGGAAGAAUUAUGCAUGCUUUGAGUUGGAACUUUGGGUGCAUUUUGCUUCUCUUUUUUUUUCUACACCUAGCUACUGUCACGAACAUUUCAAUGUUCACUUGUUGCACAUGAAUUUAGGGAUUCUUGCAAAACUAGGUUUUAUUUCAUAUUUCGUAUGUGUUACUCCUCUCCUUGCUAAUUAGCUUUGAGGUAGAACUCCAUGUAUAUCUAAUGUGGUAUUAGAAUCUAUGAUAUCCGAAAAAACAUUCUUUGUAAAUAAAUUGAAAUCUGACUCAAGAAUGGUGAGCCCAAAGAGGCAUUAUGUUGAGGGGCAUGUGGAGAGGAGAUGUCAUAAUCUUUAUAGAACACACAAGUUACUUCUCUUAUUGUCAAUUGGCUUUGAGCUGGAAUUAUGUUUGUAUGUGUUCUCUUAAAGUAAUAUUUACACUGAAAGUACGCAUUUGGCUCAUCUCCUUGUAAGACAUCCCUUUUAUCUCUAUAGCUGCCUUGUUUCCUUGUUUCCCACUUCCAAUAUUGUAGUCUAGCAUCGUUGUUUGGUGGGUUCAUCUAAGUAUCACUAUGGAAAUUUUCUUUUUUGCAUAUAACACCCUUAUAAGUUAAAAAAGAUUAAGCAACAUCUAGUAAGUAAACAAAUAAAACAAUGCAAAUGAAAUUCUUGAUUGAAAUCAAGUAAAUUCACAAAAAUGUUGAGCAAAAAGCUAGAAAAUUUUCAAUUCUUUUAACGAGACCAAAAAUUUACUGGUAGAAAAGCACUGGAAAGCAUACAAUAUCAAGUUUUAGCAAAUAUAAUGAAAGGAAAUUGCUGCCCUCUAGGAUUGGAUGUCAGAAUUUACUAUAGUAUUUCUGGUUGUUAACUAUAUUUAGAUACUCAGUUUGUUAUGUGAUAGGGUGCUAGCCACUCAGGUAUUCAGGGUUGGGAGGCUUCCAUCUCUUCUCUGGCAGUUACUGAAGAUUCGUUUGUAUUUUUUCCCCUGCUUUUCUUCCUUCCCUCACAAUAACUUAAAAGACAAGCAUAAUCUUAGACCAAAUAUAUCCAGGACUAGCAAUACUUUAAUUUUUAGGUUAAAAAGUACAAAUAUUAAGCACUAGAAACAUGCUAAUCGGGCUUGGUGUAAGACUUUCUGUGGGAAAUAACUCCCUUUCUAUUAAUCACUUGCAAUUGCUGGAUGAUGCCAUUCUUGUUCUCUUACUUCGUGAAGUCCUCACAUUCUCGUUAUUAUUGUCAAGUCUUUGUAGAGGCUUCGGUCCCUACCAUAGGUAAGGUAAAUCAGAUAUUGCUGGCAUUGGUUGUGUGACCUCCAUCAUUAAGCUGAUUGCUCUGAACUUCAGCUUAGAAUCGGGACACUGGCCAUUUCUUACUUAGAGCCUCCUCUGUUUUUUCUUUAGACCUUUUUAUUGAAAGAUGAGAAAAUAAACUCUAAUAAAGAAAAUGCCUCAUUGAAGAAGGCAGGCAACCUUAUUUGAAUAGAUUCUCUCUAAUCUUCUUAUAAUAUCUAAUAAAGAGAGUAGAGAGCCCAGUGUCAAUUGAUUUUGAGGUGGAAUCUCAUGUUAUAUAAUGUCAUAAAGCCAAAACGGGUAUUUGAUCCAAUAGCAAAUUGAGAUCCAAUAAAAAAUGGUGAACCCAAAAGAGUCACAUCAUGAGGGAUCAUGUUGAGAAUCCCACAUGGAAGAAACCAAGAGAACUGAAACUCCUUAUUUUAGGAUAGGACCCCUUUGUCAAUUGGUUUUGAGAUGGAACCUCAUUGCUAAGAAUUCCACAUAGGAAAAACUAAGGUACCUCGCACUCCUUAUAAGAUAGACGAAUUUCUUUCCUAUUGUCAAUUGGUUUUAAGAUGGAAUUAACUCUAUGCUUGUGGGCUCGAAAUAUGAAAACUCAACAAGUGGAAAUGAAUAAUAAUUGGAGAGAAAACAACAAUGUAGAGGUUUGAGAAAAAACAACAAUUUAGAGGUUUGAACACAGGAUCUUCUGAACCAACCUGCUUUAAACCCCUCUUCAAUCAAUACCAUCUUAAAUUAUCAAUUGACUCAAAGUGGCUUUUUUGGAGAUUUAUUUGACAUGGAGAUUUCACCUUGAAAAGGAUAAUUUUUGGAAGAAAUUUGUUGUUGCUAGAACGGCAUUGCUAAUGAUGGAGGAAAUGUAUUUUGUUUACUUUUAAAAUUGUAAAUAUUUUUACUUCUGGCUCUUGCAUACAGUGCAUUGCAUAUGAUCCUACCCAACCCUGAGUACCUUUCCUACAUGUUGGACGAUCUUUCCCAUUCUUCCAUCAUCCAUGGGACUUGGUUUUCCUUGUAAUUGUUUAUUCAAUGAAGUUAGUUGUUCAAUUGUUUGUUAUUGUUUUUUUUAUCAGAAAAGCUUUAGUUAUUUUGACUUGGAAAGCGAGAGAAUUAUACAACAGAAAUAAGGAUGGUCUAUUGGUCUCUCUAUAUUUCCAUUAAAAGAAAGAAAUGGUUUUAAACUCAACUUAUAAGCAGUAUAUUGAUGUCUUUUUGUUCCCUUUUGUGAAGGAGUUAGCAAACAAACUCAAGACGAAUCAUUAUCUGAUGUCACUAUCCUUCAUGAGUCCGUCUUAUAUUUGUUAUUUAUUUUGGAUUUGCUUCACUCUCAAAGCCCUGGGCCUUGUCUUGUCUUGUUUUCAUUAUUUUUAAAGAUAGUAAUAGCUAGGGUUUUUCCUUCCUUAUUAACUAAGAAAAAUCGAAUUUACUCAGCCUAAAUGCAAAAGUUCUCUUGUUCAGAUUGGUUUUUCUUUUUCAUAUUUCCACUCCAACUAUGCUUUCUCUUCUUUAUGUAAUAUUUUUGUUUGCGCUUUGCAGUUAAGCUCUAGAAGACUAAAGCUCUUUUUAUCUAAAAGUAAGUGCUCUUUUGCCUCAGGUUAUCAUCUCCAACGAUCAACAGCAUGGAUCAAUGAAAAAUUUGUACCCACCAGCAACUUUCUUUCGCAGAAAAAUGCAGUCCAGAAGAGAUGGGCAUCUCAAGCUACAACAAGAGAAGAUGAUGGCAAGAUCAGCAUUGGACCCGGAAGAGGACAAGAAGCCGAGGAAGAUGAAAAAGAUGUUGCUUAUAUUGGGCCAAUCUCGUCAACUAUCAAAAAAGUCAAGCUUCUAUCUUUAUCUACAUGCUGCCUCUCUGUAUCACUCGGACCAGUCAUAACCUUCAUGACGUCCCCCGACAUGAAUGUGAUUCUGAAAGGUGUUGUUGCAUCAUCUGUGAUAUUCCUCAGUGCUACUACUACUGGAGCGCUUCACUGGUUCGUGAGCCCUUAUGUUCAUAAAAUUAGGUGGAAACCAGGUUCAGACAGUUUUGAGGUUGAGGUUAUGUCGUGGCUGGCGACUUACAUUCCACGAACCAUUAGAUUUGCUGAUAUUCGACCACCCGAAACAAACCGCCCCUUUGUGACAUUCAAGGCUAAUGGGAGUUUCUACUUCGUAGACAAAGAGCACUGUCAGAAUAAGGCACUCUUAGCCAGACUGACUCCUCAGCAACGCGAAUCAGCUCUUAGAAACUUAUGAUUGUCUUGGAGACUGACUUUUCUUUUUCUUCAUUGAGUUGAAGGCCAAUGAGAUGGCUGAACUGUUGUCAUAAAUCAUAUACUUUCACCAUAGACAAAUUGCUGCUCAUUGUACUGUUUAGAUCAAUUUUGGCAGAAUGGUUUUUUUAAAACACAAUAAUUCAUUCAUGUGUACAACCUUUGAUAACUGAUAGAUGAUACUACAUAACAUAUAUUACGUAGUUUGGAAUUUUAAAAAUAGUUUCUAUUAACAUAUUCUUUAUAUAUUUUUGAAAAGAUACUCACAUAGUAUAACUUUUCGUAAAUUUUUUUACUAUGUAAACCAUUUUUAUCCAAAUACUUCUUGGACUGAAUUUAAGAUUUGUUUAAAGUUUAGUGAUAAUGCAAUCUUAAUUCUUAACCUAAAAGUUCAAACUUUUUGUUGGUAGGAAGAUUUAAAUCCAAGAAACUAACUCCUUGUAUGAAAUUUAAAUCAACCAAAAGGGAAAAGGGAAAAAAAAUGUUAGAAUUAGAUUAUCUCUUUCCGGUAGGAUUUCAAACUUUGUUCCAUUCUACUGUCUCUCUACAAAUUUGAAGAAAAGUUGUUUGAAGAAAAGUUGUUCAAAUUUCUCAGAAAAAACCUCAAAGAAUGAGAGCUCAAAUUAGAUUAAUAAAAUCUUCGAUCAAGAUUAAAAGGAUGAAACAAUUGGUAUAUAGCAUUUUAUAGAGAUUGUAAUCUUUUCAAUCUAUAGACACAAAAUUCAAAAUAAAAUAUUAAAGAAAGAAGUUAUUUUCUAAAUCUCAAUCUUUUCAGCUACCAUCUUUAAUGUAUCUUCAUCUUUACAACCACUAUCUUUAAUGCAUCUUGCUCCAGAAACAUUAACUAAGUUAAAAUUGCUAAAGAAAUGUUAAGAAAACUAAUAACAGAAGUUAUCAACUUACGUUCGUUAAUUACAAUUGUGUCAUGAUACAUAUCAUCUGAUUUAGAAACUGAAUUUGAAUAACUAAACUAAAACUAUAGAAAAUUUAUUGAAAUUCACUAUUCUUUACUCUAAAAACGUCAAGUUGUUUUUUUGUUCAUCCAAAAUUACUUUUUUUUUUUCUUUACACCUAUCCAGACUAAUUUACAUAUACCACGACAAGUUUUCUUAGUCAAAACCCUACACAAUAUUUAGGUAACACAAAAACCUAGAAAAUAUUAAAACUUAGGUAAAUAGUCACAAAAGAUUGAAUCCAUACCGAUAGCCUUCUUACCAAAGUACAUGAAAAAUUGGCUCUUUUUUUCUAUUAUGCUAAUGGUUUAUUAUUCAUAUCAGGGUAGUGGCUCCGAAAUCAAGAAACCAACGUUGAUGAGGAUGAAAAGGGGAAGAGAGUUGAGUGAAAUGUGAGCACAAAGAGUGUGUUAAGGAUCCCGAAAUAGAGGGUUGUGAUGCGAGGAUUGUAGCAAUUAGAGAAAGUAGUGUGUCCAAAUCAGGUACAAAAUGAGGUUUAUUUGGUUUGGAAGACGACAAAAGAUUAUAGGGAUCGGAAUGGGGAAAGGAGAGGCAAGAUCAAUAGCAGGAGGCAAAGAAGAAGCAUAACUCAAUACAUUUGUGAUUUAGGGAAGAAGUUGUGAAGGUAGAGGUGAAUGUUGUAGAUUGGCCAAAUUGGAACGCACAUUAUAUGAACUUGCACGACGCUUCACCAGAAACGUAUGUAAGACCAUUGGAGCAGAAGUAGGUACCUGAACUUGCUCAUCUCAUGUCCCUUGUCUACUCGUUCAUAUAAAUUUCACGUAUUCACUUCAACAUAUCCGCUUUUGCAUUUUUAAUAUGAAUUUUAAGUAGUUUUAAAUAUAUAUAUAUACAAACUCAACAUAUUAAACAAUAACAAGAAACCCUAAACAUAAUUUUUUUAAACUCCACUUCACAACAAAAUUUUAAAACAAGAAAAGACCAACAAUAGUACACUUUAACAAUGGCAACUCCACUUUUGUUGCCAUUGCAAGUUGAGUUUAAGGUUCUUUUAAGCUUUUUGAUUCUUUCAAAAAAGAGAAAAAAUGGUUUUGAUGGGAAAUCAAUCAAGAAAUGGUCACAAAGGGGGGCCUUGACAAUAUACUCAAACAAAACAACGUAUAUAAGAAACAGAAACAAAGAUCAAUACCAGAAAAAAGUAGUUUGAAGUAAAACGAGCAUAGAACAUAUAACCUUAAUUAGGAAGGACUUGCCACCGCCGAUCAAGCACCCAAUUCUGAGAGAAUCUGCUUAACGACGAUGGAGGAAACUUAAAGACGCAACCAACGAAACAGAGACAAAACAAACCCCAACCAGAUAGUAAUUUAAUAAGAACCCACUCAUCAUUCUGACAAACUUCACCACAGCCAACGGCUACUCGUACCAUUCACUUCCCUGAUUUCUUUGCUGCAGACUUGGUGACCUUGGCGCCCGAUGCAUCCUUCUUCUCAACGGCCUUGAUGACACCAACAGCCACGGUUUGACGCAUGUCCCUCACGGCAAAUCGUCCAAGAGGGGGAUACGCAGAGAAUGUUUCCACCACCAUAGGCUUGGUGGGAAUCAUCUUAACAAAUCCAGCAUCUCCGUUCUUCAAAAACUUGGGCUCUUUCUCCAGUUCUUUACCAGAUCGCCUGUCAAUCUUAGUUAAAAUCUCGGCAAAUUUGACAGCAAUGUGAGAUGUGUGGCAAUCGAGUACAGGUGCAUAACCAUUUCCAAUCUGUCCUGGAUGGUUCAUGAUGAUAACUUGGGACGUGAAAUUGGCAGCUUCCUUGGCAGGAUCAUCCUUGGAAUUUGAGGCAACAUAACCACGCUUGAGAUCCUUCACAGCAACAUUCUUCACGUUGAACCCCACGUUGUCACCAGGGAGAGCUUCUUGGAGAGCUUCGUGGUGCAUCUCCACAGACUUAACUUCAGUAGUCAGUCCAGAUGGAGCAAAGGUUACCACCAUACCAGGCUUUAUAAUGCCAGUUUCAACACGACCCACUGGAACAGUUCCAAUACCUCCAAUCUUGUAGACAUCCUGAAGUGGAAGACGAAGGGGUUUGUCAGAUGGCCUCUUAGGCUCUUGGAUCAGAUCGAGAGCCUCAAGAAGGGUCGGUCCCUUGUACCAGUCGAGGUUGGUGGAUCUUUCAAUCAUGUUGUCACCCUCAAAGCCAGAGAUGGGGACGAAGGGAAUUUUUUCUGGGUUGUAGCCAACCUUCUUGAGGUAGGAAGAAACUUCCUUCACAAUUUCAUCGUACCUAGAUUUCGAGUACUUGGGCGUGGUGGCAUCCAUCUGUCACAUAAAUAGCCAAGUCAGUAAGUAACAAAACACGAAAAAACCAGAAUACUAAAGAAUCAGGAUUGACUAUAAACAUCAUUACCUUGUUACAGCAGCAAAUCAUUUGCUUGACACCAAGGGUAAAGGCAAGAAGGGCGUGUUCACGGGUCUGCCCAUCCUUAGAAAUACCAGCUUCAAAACCUCCAGUAGUGGAGUCGAUAAUAAGAACAGCACAGUCAGCCUGGGAAGUACCAGUAAUCAUGUUCUUGAUGAAAUCACGAUGCCCAGGGGCAUCAAUCACAGUGCAGUAAUACUUGGUGGUCUCGAACUUCCACAGAGCAAUAUCAAUUGUGAUACCACGCUCACGUUCGGCCUUAAGUUUGUCCAACACCCAGGCAUACUUGAACGAUCUCUUGUUCAUCUCAGCAGCUUCCUUCUCAAACCUCUCAAUAACACGCUUGUCAAUACCUCCAAGCUUGUAAAUCAAAUGGCCAGUAGUGGUCGACUUGCCAGAGUCGACAUGACCAAUGACCACAAUGUUGAUGUGAGUCUUUUCCUUACCCAUGCUUGAAUAUUAGGUCAAAGAACUGCGAAACAAGAAAAAGUUCACGAAAAAUAAGAAGAGCAAGAGCAGAUAACCAAAAUAUCAUUACUAAAAUUUGUGAAUAACCCUAAUUUUGUUAGAUUCACACAUCUAAAUAACGUUAAAAUUAAAAUAUCCACCACAAUAUCAACUCUUUUGGCUGGAAAACUUGUUGGUUAUAAAAAAAUGAUCGGAACUAGAACAGAGAAAAUAAAUAAAUAAAAAAAAACGAAAAACGACCAACCCAAUCAGCUAGACUAGAUUAAAAGCAGAUCUACGCGAUUGGCAGAACGACAGGGGACGUCUCGAUAGAUUGAUGAACAGAUACAUAAAACUAGCAUAAAAACAAAAGGGCAGGGACAAGAAGAAGAACAGAAGAAAUUAUAAUUCAUGCUAGGAUCUAGACGAGAAAAACAGUAAAAGCUAAAGAAAUAAGAGAGUAUCAAGCAUAUAGAAGAAAGAAAUCGAGAAAAGGAAGAAGAUAGGGGGAAAGCACAACCUGAGGAGAAAUGCUGCUGUUAAACCCUUGCGGCGAGAGAUGGAGAAUGGCAAUGGGAUUGAAGGGGUUAACAAUAGGGUUUGAGGAUCCUUAUAUAUGCAAUGUCUGAAUUCCUUUGUUGACGAAAAUACCCUUAUCAUAAUUUCAACAUUCCUACACAGUGGCUCUCAACAAUAAAAGAUUUUCGAAUUUACCUACUAGAUUCCAAAUAAAAUAAAGUAACAUUUUAGAAUAUAGUAAAAUUUGUCAAAUUCUAUCAAUGAUAUAAAUGUAUCAACGAUAGACAUGUUACAAAUAUUAGUCUAUCACUAAUAGACCAUACGAAGUCUAUAGUUUUGUUAUAUUUGCAAUUUUUUAAAAAUGUUAAUAUAUUAUUAAUUACUAUUCAUAAAAUGAUCAUCAACUACGAUUUUUAAAAAAAGUUCUUUUUUUCUCAACUUUCCAUUUCAAGUUAAAGGUUUAAAAAAUAUCAUCAAAACUCUUGGAAAGGUUAAAAAACAUGUUUAAAAAAUAUAACUAUUAAAAGUUUCAAAAAUUCCCUUGAAUUUAAAAAAUGUUAAAGGAAAAACUUUCUUAAAAUGUAAUAUGAACUAAAAGUGUAAUAUCUCGCUAAAAAAUAACUUUAAAUUAAAAAUGUCUUUAUCGUUAAUACAUUGAAAAUUUUAUUUGAAUUUGUUAAGUUUGAUUAGAUUGACAAAUAUUUGUUUUAUGGCUUUAGAUAUAAAAAUUGUGACAUUGAUGUUAUUUUUAAAAAAUGGAUGAUCUACCAAAAUGUUGAUUAUCCAAUAUACUUUUCCUACGAGUAGUUGUGUUUUCAAUUUCUCAUGUUGGCAUCUUCCUUUAUGUAGCGUGUAGUUGCUUUGGAGGUUAGGGUUGCUUAUUUGUGAUUUCACUGUGCAUAUUUCAAGGACACUUAGUUCUAAGGUUUGGGUUUUGGCGGUUUAGUUUGUUUUAAUAGCAACAUUUGUAUUGUCUUUAUGUAGUAUUUUCAGCUUGUGUUAGAAGAAGAGAGUGCUACGUGUAUUUGAGGCAUACUCCAUUCUCCCUACUACUGUGCAUUGUGAUGUACUGAGAAGAGAUUAUUUAUGUUUAGGGGAUCUUAAAUAUACCAACGAGAUAUUAACAGUUUCAAAUAAAUUUAUUACUAUACUAACGAUAGAGAUAUUUUUAAUUAUUUAGAGUUAGUUUUUGCAACGAGAUAUUAACAAUUUUAGAUCAUAUACUAAUUGUGAGAGUAAAUUUAAAAGAAUAUAUAAUUUAAGGGUGUUUUUUAAAUUUUUCAAUAAUUGAGGAAUAUUUUUAACAAAACUUUAACCUUCUACAUCCAAAACUAACAUUAAGGGUAUUUUCGAACCCUUUUCGAAAGUUUGAGAGUAUUUUUUAAACUGUUGAAAGUUUAGGGGUAUUUUUUACUCAAAAUACAAAAUUGGGGGGUGUUUUUUUUACAAUUUAGCGUUUUUUUUGUGUUUUUUCUAGGCCAAUAUCAAUUUAUACCUCUGAACUUUAGAUGUUGUAUCAAUUUAAACUUUGAACUUUCUUAUAUGCAUCAAUUUAAACUCUCAACUUUCACAAAUGUGUCCAAGUAAAACAUAAUGGACGAUUUAAAAUGAUUCAUGUUAUAAGUGUAAAGUCUAAAUUGAUACAAUUAAUAGUUUAGGGUCUAUAUUGAUACAAAUUUUAAAGUUGAGAGUUUAAAUUAAUACAAUUAUUAGUUUAAGGUUUAAAGUUCAUUGAUAUAAAUUGAAAUUAGCCCAAUUUUUUUUUAAAAAAAAACUUUAAACUAAUUAAAACUACGAGCCACUACCGUGAAGGCAUAAGUGAACCAAAGUAGGAAAGAUCAAGCCUAAGUUUUUCAAUGACUGACUCAACUUUGAAUCACUCUACUUUGUGGUACAGUCAACUCUUCCCUUUUUUAUUGAGUCAAGUUAAGUCGAAGCAACGAGACCUAGUGUCAUGCCCUACUCCAAAUGACUCUUCAUGCGACCAAGUGGAGGCAUGUCGCCUAGACAAUCAAUGCACAACUUCUGCGAGAUGGUACGCUAAACACCUAGUAAGCGGAACUACUUCUUACAGCACAAGGUUAAGCGCACAAUUUGUACUUUAAUGAAACAAGAGAACUUCAUUGAUAGACAAUUUACAAGAGUACAUUUGAUUCCUAUUACACAAAUCGUUCAAAAGAGGACACAGACUCAACAACGACUUGACUUUUCCCCACUUAGCUUCUACAUGCUACACGAGAUAAUAGUAGCCACUACCAAGACAAUGUGAUUUAGGAGGUACGGUAGACGAUCAAGACAGCAAAUUCUAUGUCAGAUGUCCUUUGCUACCUAAGGGGGAUGAAAUAAACAUUAGAAGGGUUGGGCGAAAAUGUCUAGUGAAUGGAAUCUCUUAACAGAUGUUUUAUGUAAAUUAAUCGUUUUUUUACCAGAUAAUCAGCUCCAGAACAGGUAUUAUAGCAAAAUGUGUCGAAUGUCAUUUAUCUCUUACAACACUACUCCGAAGAAAGAAUUUAUUUAAAACAAUAUAAUAGUGUUAAUAAUAAAAAAGAUCAAGAUUGAGGAUAAACACAUUACCUUCGUCAUUUUAUGAGUUUUGUCCUCCCACGUUAUGCAAACUUGUUGGAAGCUUUGGCAAUAGUUGUGGCUGAAUGUUGAAGCAAUCAUUCAAGUACAAUGCUAUUAAGUUAGUAAGUCGAGGGAGGCUUUGUUUGAGCCUUACAAAAGAAUUCUUGCUAAGGUCAAGAAUUUCCAAUAAGAAAAGACAUUUGAUAUCAUCACGAAUAUCUUCGUCCACAAUAUUGCAAUCACUUAGAUUCAAAUCUCUAAUAGGCAAAACAUCAUUACUCCCAACCAAAUCAUUCAAUGACCACCAAAUAUUUUUUGAAAGCCUUUCACAAUUCAAAGUUUCAAGACUCUUUAAACGAGCGAUAGCAUUUGGUGCUUGAUCUAUAAAUGUUCCUCCAUUGUCAAGCAUGGUAAGAGAUUGUAUUGUCCCCAAAGUGAAAGGAAAUUUGGUGGAGGUUUUUGCAGCCAUUCAAAUUGAGAGUUUGAAGUGAUAUCAAUUUUCAAAUUGAUGUUGGAAGACUUGAUAGCUUAGUACAAUCCCUUAGGUUCAAUUAAGUUAAGUGAGCUAGAAGUCCAAAUGAUGAAGGAAGGUCUUGUAUAAGAGUUCCAUCAAGGUGAAGUUCAGUUAAAGUUUUGGUUGGUUUUUCAAUCUUUGGUAAAGAUUUAAGGCAUAAAUUGGAAAGAAUUAAUGUUUGGAAUCUUUUGCAAGUUACUAGUUUAGAUGGAAAUGUUUUGAGAUUGACACAAUUUGCCAUAUGAACUAAAACAAGAUGGUUGAGAGUAGUAAUGGAAGAAUGAAUCACACACAAUCUUGCACAAUUCCUUGACAUCAACCUUUGGAGAUUUGGAAGCUUGGGUCUCAACCAAAUUCUGUGAUCCACUCACAUCAAACUCUUUCAACCUACUAAAUUCAUGUGGAAAACAAGUCCACACCAUCACAUUAGAUACCACUCUACUUCUCAAAUUCUUACCCAAAAAUAAAAGGAGAGUUGAAAAUUUGGUCAUUUGAAAAAGAGGAAGAAAAAUUCUUGAGAGAGAGUCGACUGAGAAAGUUGUUUAGAGAGAAUCUCUACAAGGAAUUUUUUUUUGAAGCAAAUAUUCCCAAUGUAGGUUUUAUUUAUUCACUUUAUUACUAUAUUUAUUUUUUUUCUUUAUCCUAAACAAUUUAAUCAAUGGAAAAUUUAGUUGAAUAGUGCAUUUGGCUCGGAUUUAUUUCCAAGAAUUCAUACCUCAUACGACAAGUCUUUCGGAUUUGAAUCAUUGUUUUUUUCUCUUUCUAAAGGUUGUGAGAGAAUUUAUUUUCUCUCGCUACUUUUUUGUAUAGUUAUUUCUUUUUCUAAAAAGACAAAUCUUUAGUCUUUUUCUUCUCACUAACAAAAAUAGAGAGAAAGAAAAGUGUUUUGUUUUUUAAUUUUUAACUAUCAUAUAUUUGUUUAAAAUAAUAUUAAAAACAUGACAUUAAUAUAAUUGUGAGAGUAAGAUCAACAAAGUAAAUACAAUAUCAAAUUUGGUCCUAACCUACUAUAAAUUAAUAAAUCCAUAUCCUAAUUUUGGUAGAUAAAAAUAAAUCCUACUCAAAUCUUUUAUAAUGAUUUCAUAUGAGUUAUCUAAUAAAUGCUAAUUACUUCUUCUCUAAUAUUCAAUUUUCUUAUUAUACUUAGACAUUACUAAUGUAAAGUGAGGGUGGUACGUUUCCUUUGACCAAAAUUUGAUAUCAUAUGCAUGUUACAUAUACGUGUGUGCAACAUGUAGAGAGUAGUGAAGGGGUGAACAUAGAUAUUGGGGAGAGAUCUACACAAUCAUGUACCAAAUUUAAAUGAUCCUGGUAAACGAUUGUUUAUAUUCGUAAGGAAAGAGAAAUGACAUGAUACUGGAGAUGACGCCGAAGGUAAGAUAUGACAAAGAAUAAAAAAAUUAUGGAAGAGUCACGAAGAAAUUAUGAAUAAGAAGAUGUGGGAAUAUGGAGAAUGAUUAGGACUAUGAUAUAUGAUACCUAAUAAUAUAAAAAAAAUGUGCAAGCAUAACUCGAAAUUCAAAACUAAUAAAGGUAAAUCUAGAUUUUUUUUGUUACACGGAUCAUAAAUAUUUUUUAGUUUUGUUAUAUAUAUGUGUGUUUAAUUAACCAUUUUUUAUUUAUUCAAUCUAAUUUAAUUUUUGUUUUCAUAUGAUUUUUUUUAUUAAUUCAAAUUUUAUUCUAGUGUUUUUUUUAAUAAUUAUAUAUAUAUAUAUAUAUAUAUAUAUAUAUAUAUAUAUAUGACAACAAAUAUGUGUCAUUUAUAUUGUUCACAAAUGACCUUCUCAUUAACCUCUAUGUGAAAACCUAAAUCACUUAUAUGUGACUCUGCCUUCUAGCCAUCGAUCUAUUUUGCUACUUUGGUGAGUAUUCGAUUAAGUUUUGGUACUUCCAUCAAAUAUCUCAAAUAUCUAUUUUUUUUUAAUUAUCCCAAAAAGUUGAUCUGAUUUUAACCAAAAUUGUAAAUCCCAAAAAGUUGAUUGAUUUUAACCAAAAUUGUUGAUUGAGUUAACUAAGCUAAGACGCAUAACUUGAUUGAUAUGAAUGAUUGAAAUGUUAUGACAAAUGAUAUAUUAAUCACAUGACAACGACGUUCCGAUUGAUAUUUAUGUCAUGUUAUAAUAUGUUACAUGUUAUGGACAAGUGUUCUACUAACUUUAUCUAAUUACAAGUAAUUCCUAAAAAUUUACGGUCUUCAAUUAAUACAAAAUAAAUAAAUUACAACGAUUAAUAUCGAUAAAUUAAAAAUUAAUGAAAACAUAGAUUUUAAAAUUAAAAAAAAGGUUGAAAGAUAGAUUAGUAUUAAAUUAAAAAUGAAAGAAUUUAGUUUUUAAAAAUGAAAAAUAAAAUUCAAAAUGAAUAAAGAUUAAAAAAAAGUAUAAUUUAGUUUUUAAGAAUAAAAUUAAAAUUCACAAAGAUAAAAAGAUUACAUGAAUUUUUAUUAAAAAAGUACAAUUUAGUUUUCAGAAAUGAAAAUUAAGAUUCAAAUAGAAUAAAGAUACAAAAAUUAUAUAAAAAAUAAAGAAAAAAAAGUUGAUUUAGUUUUUUUAAAAAAUCAAAUUGGAAAAAGAAAAUAUAUAUAGAGAGAGGUCCACAAAUUCUUUUAUAAACAAAAAUUAUAGAGUUUGAUAAUCUAAAUAAAUUAGGAACUAAUACACAUUCAAGAAGAUUAUAUUACAAAAAAUAUAUAGUUAAUUUUAAGUUUUAGGUAAAAGUAAUAAAUUGAAUAAAAUUUCAAGUAAAUAUUCAAAUAUUAAAAAUUUAAAUUUUAAAUAUACACGUGCAAUUAAAGACUAGUAAAUAUUCAAAUACUAAACACCCAUAUUUCAUUUGGAUUCAUAAGUAAAGUGUGUAAGAAAAAUUAUGAAGGCAAUGAGAAAGGAAUUGGUAAAUAAUGUGUUGAAACAAAAACGAUAAAUGUAUUAAGCAAUAAAUAAGAACUCAUAACAAGUCGUUUGAAAUAAAACAGCCAUAAAACAUAGAAAUUUCAAAGAUAAAAAUGGAAGACUUGCCACCGCCGAUCAAGCACCCAAUUCUGCGAAAAGCUACUCACCGACCAUGGAGGAAACUUGAAGACAUAACCAACCAGACACACACAACACACAACCCAACAACCACAGAACGUAUUAAUAAGCUUCCAGUCAUCAUGAUGAUUAACAUCAAGCCGUUGGCCGCCAACGGCUACUCGCACCAUUCACUUCCCUGAUUUCUUUGCUGCAGACUUGGUGACCUUGGCGCCGGAUGCAUCCUUCUUCUCAACGGCCUUGAUGACACCAACAGCCACAGUUUGACGCAUGUCCCUCACGGCAAAUCGUCCAAGAGGGGGAUACGCAGAGAAUGUUUCUACCACCAUGGGCUUGGUGGGAAUCAUCUUAACAAAUCCAGCAUCUCCGUUCUUCAAAAACUUGGGCUCUUUCUCCAGUUCUUUACCAGAUCGCCUGUCAAUCUUAGUUAAAAUCUCGGCAAAUUUGACAGCAAUGUGAGAUGUGUGGCAAUCGAGUACAGGUGCAUAACCAUUUCCAAUCUGUCCUGGAUGGUUCAUGAUGAUAACUUGGGACGUGAAAUUGGCAGCUUCCUUGGCAGGAUCAUCCUUGGAAUUUGAGGCAACAUAACCACGCUUGAGAUCCUUCACAGCAACAUUCUUCACGUUGAACCCCACGUUGUCACCAGGGAGAGCUUCUUGGAGAGCUUCGUGGUGCAUCUCCACAGACUUAACUUCAGUAGUCAGUCCAGAUGGAGCAAAGGUUACCACCAUACCAGGCUUUAUAAUGCCAGUUUCAACACGACCCACUGGAACAGUUCCAAUACCUCCAAUCUUGUAGACAUCCUGAAGUGGAAGACGAAGGGGUUUGUCAGAUGGCCUCUUAGGCUCUUGGAUCAGAUCGAGAGCCUCAAGAAGGGUCGGUCCUUGUACCAGUCGAGGUUGGUGGAUCUUUCAAUCAUGUUGUCACCCUCAAAGCCAGAGAUGGGGACGAAGGGAAUUUUUUCUGGGUUGUAGCCAACCUUCUUGAGGUAGGAAGAAACUUCCUUCACAAUUUCAUCGUACCUAGAUUUCGAGUACUUGGGCGUGGUGGCAUCCAUCUGUCACAUAAAUAGCCAAGUCAGUAAGUAACAAAACACGAAAAAACCAGAAUACUAAAGAAUCGGGAUUGACUAUAAACAUUAUCACCUUGUUACAGCAGCAAAUCAUUUGCUUGACACCAAGGGUAAAUGCAAGAAGGGCGUGUUCACGGGUCUGCCCAUCCUUAGAAAUACCAGCUUCAAAACCUCCAGUAGUGGAGUCGAUAAUAAGAACAGCACAGUCAGCCUGGGAAGUACCAGUAAUCAUGUUCUUGAUGAAAUCACGAUGCCCAGGAGCAUCAAUCACAGUGCAGUAAUACUUGGUGGUCUCGAACUUCCACAGAGGAAUAUCAAUUGUGAUACCACGCUCACGUUCGGCCUUCAGUUUGUCCAACACCCAGGCAUACUUGAACGAUCUCUUGUUCAUCUCAGCAGCUUCCUUCUCAAACCUCUCAAUAACACGCUUGUCAAUACCUCCAAGCUUGUAAAUCAAAUGGCCAGUAGUGGUCGACUUGCCAGAGUCGACAUGACCAAUGACCACAAUGUUGAUGUGAGUCUUUUCCUUACCCAUGCUUGAAUAUUAGGUAAAAGAUCUGUGAAACAAGAAAAAGUACGAAAAAUAAAUAAUAAAAAGAGUUGAUAGAAAAUAAGAAAAAGGAAGAUUAAAGAGGCAAAAAAAAAGCUCAUUAUUGAGACUUUCUGAACUUCACAUAUGGUAUUUGUAAAUCUAAAAUACCCACUCUAAUCUAAACCUCUAAACCUCGAUAAUCUAAACCUCUAAACCUCGAUGAUUAUCAAAAAAAAAAUUCUCAGAACUAACAAAUAAAAUAAACUGAAAAACAAAUUAAAAUGAAUCCAAUCCAAUCAGACUAGAUUAAAUGCAGACUAGAUUAAAUGCAGAUCUACAGAAGAUUAUCAACAACAACACUUACGUCGCAAAUAAAAUCGGCCAAUUCAAAACAAAACAAUGACAAAUAUGCAUAAAAGAUAAACAGGAAGAAUAGAAGAAUAAAAGAUAACGAAAAGCUCAUUAAUAAAGAAGUAAUACAAAAUAUAAAACAAAACUAGACUUCAUGAUCUACAAGAGAAGAACAAUAAAACGAAACUAGACUUCAUGAUCUACAAGAGAAGAACAAUAAGAGCUCUAAAAAUCAACAAGAAAAAUGAAGAAAACCUGAGGAGAAAGGUGUGCUGUUAAACCCUUGCGGCGAGAGAUGAGGAAUGAAAACUAGAUUGGAGGGGUUAAUAAUAGGGUUUGAGGAUUGUUAUAUAGUAUGUCUAAACAUGUUUUGUUGACGAAAAUACCCUCAACCAAAUUUCAUAAUUCAGUAGACCUAAACAGUAAAAAGUUGUAUUGAAACAGAAAAAGAUAAACAGUUUAAAAUAUCUCUUCAUUUAUUUGAAAUUAUUAUUUACCAUUACAAAUUUUAUGUUUGUUCACAUCUUCUAAAAAAUUUAGAUAUACAUCUCAAUGUUUAUUUGUUUAUUAUGGUUUAUAAUAAUUUUAUUUGAAAUAAUUAUAAUAGAUAGUAAUUUUAUGAAUAAUAAUUAAAUGUAUAACAAUUAUUUUUAAAAAAUUACAAAUAUAAAAAAGUAUAACAAUUAUUUUUAAAAAAUUACAAAUAUAAAAAAGUAUAUUUAGAGUGAACUUAUUUUAGUCGUAUCAGUUAUAAUAAUAUUGGUUGGGUUGAGAAUGUCUUCCAACCUAACCUAACCUAAUCUGAUUUAACUCCUACUUAUCGUUAACUUUUGGUUUUUCUUUUUAUAGGAUUAUAGUGGAAACCUGAGCUUAUUCUUUACAUAUUCUACAGCUUCUCAUUUUAGUGGAAAAUUUGAAUAAAGAGUUCAUAUCAAAUUAAACAAUUUGUUAAAAUAAUAAAGUUUAAAUAAAUGUGAUUUGAAAUAAAUUUAAUUUAUAGAAAAAAAACUAUAAUUUAAAAUAUAUUUUCUAGGAUGAAAGGUGAUGUUAUAUGGGAGUGAACUAUAUUUUCCAUCUAUAAGUUUUGUUUAUAAUUAGUACAUGGAUGUUAAUAAUUUUUUAUGAAUAUAUAAAUAAAUAUUGAUUUUAAUGAUAAAAAGUCCAUUCUUAUUUAAACAUAUACCUAAAUUUUAUAAUAAUUUUGUUUAGAGUUUUUAUCGAAUAUUAAUUACUUUUAUGAAAAUAAAAUAAUUUUAAUGAAAAAUCUAUUCUUAUUUAUAAUAAUUAUAAAUAUAACAAAAUAUUAAUAUAUUAAUAUGUACCAUCGAUAUAACAAAAUAAAAAAACUUAAGAAGUGGACCAUUUUUUAAAAUCCCAACAGGUUUGCUUUUUCUUUUUAUCUUUUUUCUUCGAUUUUUUUUUAUAUUUUUUGAAAUCAUAAUAUUUGAUCAAAAUAAUUUUUUAUUAUUUUUUUCGAGUGUUACUAGUUUAAGAUUGUGUACCAAAUAAAUGAAAUGUUGGUAUAUUUAGAUUUUGAAAAAUUAUUGUUCAUAUUGGUACAAAAUCUUAGAUUUGAGUAGCGAAAUCUAAGCUAUAUGAUAAUGAAUUUUGAAAAAAAAAUGCAAAUCUAACUAUCAUUGUGUACCAAAUCUAAACAAAUCAUGUACGGAAUAUUUACCAUACAUUCUUUCCAAACUAAAAUUUUAAGGUAAAUAUUAAUAUAAUCUUAAAGAGUUGUAUCAAUUAAAAGACUAAAUUAAUAAUUGUAACAACUUAACUCUUUAAGUUUAGAAAGUAACCAUCCAUUUCAGAUCUUGUUCAACUAAUAUGGUGUGGCAUUAAACUCUUAAAAUUUUAUACGUUGGUAAAUUUAGAUAUUUCUUUUUAAUUAUCUUAAAAUGCCACAUAUAUGUACUACUUUGGAAAGAAUUUUGAAUUAUGAUUAAGUAUUAGGAUAUAUACUCAUGUAUGUGGUUUAUACAUAUAUACUCAUGUAUUAAGAAAAAUGUUUUAUCCUUACUUUGUAUAAAAGUUUGUAAUAAUUAAUAUACAAAUCAAAUGUUGAAAUAUGUUUCCUAAUAUUACGAGUCUAAGGUCGUGUGUGUGAUUUUUUAACAUUUUCGGUUUUUAAUUUUGAAAAACAAUUCAUCUUGAAAAAAAAAUUAUUCAAAAAAUAUAUUUUUGCAACAUUUUCAAAAUUAUUUUAAAUAUUUUUUAUCAAAAGUAUUUAGAAAAUGAAAAUUAGGAUAAAUGAUAAAAACAAUAAAAAUAUUUACAAAAUUUAAUAUUUACUAAAUCUUUACUCGAUAUUUUAUCUCUAUGUCUUGAAAAAUACAUUAAAAUUUAGUCCAUAUAUUUGAUGAGUAGGACUUAGUUUCUAUACUUUUUGAUCAAACUCUCAUAAAUAGUCCUUAAAUUUAUAAUGAUUUUAUUAAAACUUUGGGAAAAGACUUCAUCAAACAUAAAGAUUGGAUUUAAAUUUUCUCUAAAUUAAAGUGUAUAUGACCCAAUCAAUAAUGUAAUUUAGUCUUACUUGACUUUAAAACCAUAAAUUAUGGGUAGAAUUAGAAGUAAACAAUAAUAGCAUAGCAAAUGAAAUCAAACUCAAAGUUAACCCAACAAAAGUUCACUUAUACAAGUACUCAAACCAUCCCCACCAAAUAAUGUAUCCAAUAGAUCACUUAUGAAAAACAUCCCACCAACGAAAAUAAAAAUUGUAUAGCAAUAACCUAUAAGACAACAAGAGAAACAGCAGUCCUUCCCCACCGACGAUCAAGAACCCAAUUCUGUGAAAACUCACUAGGGAAAGGGAGAAAAGUUUUGAAAAGAAAACAGACACAAAACACAACACAUAAUUCAAACCGCACAAUUCACUUACCAGAUUUCUUAGCAGCUGAUUUGGUGACCUUAGCACCACUUGGGUCCUUCUUUUCGACGCUCUUGAUCACACCAACAGCCACAGUUUGCCGCAUGUCUCUGACCGCAAAUCUCCCAAGUGGUGGAUACUCAGAGAACGUUUCCACCACCAUAGGCUUAGUGGGGAUCAUCUUAACGAAUCCAGCAUCACCAUUUUUCAAGAAUUUAGGCUCUUUCUCCAGUUCUUUACCAGAUCUUCUAUCAAUCUUUGUUAGAAUCUCCCCAAACUUGACUGCAAUGUGAGAGGUGUGGCAGUCAAGAACAGGGGCAUAACCAUUUCCAAUCUGUCCUGGAUGGUUCAUGAUGAUAACUUGUGAGGUGAAACUAGCAGCUUCUUUGGCUGGAUCAUCUUUCGAAUUUGAUGCAACAUAGCCACGUUUGAGAUCUUUUACAGCGACAUUCUUCACGUUGAAUCCCACAUUGUCACCAGGGAGAGCUUCUUGGAGAGCUUCAUGGUGCAUUUCAACAGAUUUUACUUCAGUAGUGAGGCCAGUUGGAGCGAAGGUGACGACCAUGCCGGGUUUUAUAAUGCCAGUUUCGACACGGCCUACUGGGACUGUUCCAAUGCCGCCGAUCUUGUAGACAUCUUGAAGUGGAAGACGAAGGGGUUUGUCAGAUGGUCUCUUGGGCUCGUGGACUUGGUCGAGAGCUUCGAGAAGGGUAGGGCCUUUGUACCAGUCGAGAUUGGUGGAUCUUUCAAUCAUGUUGUCACCUUCAAAUCCAGAGAUGGGGACAAAGGGGAUUUUGUCCGGGUUGUAGCCAACUUUCUUGAGGUAGGAUGAAACUUCUUUGACGAUUUCAUCGUAUCUAGAUUUGGAGUAUUUGGGAGUAGUGGCAUCCAUCUGUUAAACAAACAAAUCAAACACACCCAUAACUAAAACAGGGAAAUUGACCCAAUUUGCCUUUUCUCUCUAUAAAACAGUGAAAAAGAGGAAAUGAAAGUUGGUUGAGAUUACCUUGUUGCAGCAGCAGAUCAUUUGUCGAACACCAAGGGUAAAGGCAAGAAGGGCAUGUUCACGAGUCUGCCCAUCCUUAGAAAUACCAGCUUCAAAACCUCCGGUAGUUGAAUCAAUGAUAAGAACAGCACAGUCAGCCUGGGAAGUACCAGUAAUCAUGUUCUUGAUGAAAUCACGAUGCCCAGGAGCAUCAAUCACAGUGCAGUAGUACUUGGCGGUCUCGAACUUCCACAAAGCAAUAUCAAUUGUGAUUCCGCGCUCACGUUCAGCCUUAAGCUUGUCCAAAACCCAAGCAUAUUUGAACGAUCUCUUGUUCAUCUCAGCAGCUUCCUUCUCAAACCUCUCAAUAACACGCUUGUCAAUACCUCCAAGCUUGUAAAUCAAAUGGCCAGUGGUGGUCGAUUUCCCAGAAUCGACAUGGCCAAUGACCACAAUGUUAAUGUGAACCUUCUCCUUACCCAUACUUGAAUUUCAGCUACAAAAUACAAUCUGUUGCAAAAUAAAAAUUGAAACUGAAAUCAUCAUAUGCAUAUAACUCAGCCAAAGAAAACCGAAAAGUAAUACUAGCUCGUAAGAUCAAUUAAACCCAAAUUUCCAAAACAUAAACAUACUUCAACGAUUAAAUCCUUAACCAAAAAGAUUUCAGCAGCAGGGUUUUGAAAUCAAGAAAGCAUUCACCAUAAAAUAAAGUACAUACUUGUGAUCAGAGGAAACAGAGAGAGUGUAAAGUCAACGCGAUUUGGAGAACGAGAAACAAAUCCAAAAACUGUAUGGAAUUUGUUUUUGAUACCGCCUUUGUUGAUUCCUUCCACAAAAACUGUCUAUGCAAGCAAGUAGAAAUAAAUAGACUUAUGAGACUAAAACUUGGUGUCCAAGCAAAAUAGAAAUAGUAUAGAUGUCUGUUUGAAUAUUCUUUUCCAUUUUCUCGAAAUGAAUGGAAAAGUCUUUAUUUAAUCUUUUCAUUAGUUCCAAAUCGGGUGAUUUUAAAAAAAAUCGGUAGCAAGUUGUAGCAAGUUGGGUGUUUUGAUUGGUUGAGAAGAGCAAUCACUUGUCUCCAUUUGGUAGCAGAGUUUUGAAAUGUCAAAAACUGAAUCAUGAAGUUUUCUCCACUUACAGCUUCCAAAAUCAAACAUUGUUCCAGUAAUAAAUUUAUAUCUCAUUUGCUAAUCAUUUGAUAAUUAAACCUACGUUGUUUUCUUCAACUUUCUGCAUGUUGUUUUCUUAUGUAAGAGAGUCGAAUUUUUAUUAAGUGUUUUAAAACCAACUAUUUUUUAAAUAAAACAAGAAAAUUAAAGAUAAAACCGUGUUUAUGAAUAGAUUUAUUUUUUUUAUAAAAUAACAAAAUCAUUAUCAAACAAGUCCUUGUUCAAAUGAUGGUUGUGGAUAUUGUUGAAGCUUAUUAAAAGAAAGUCACGGAAGAUGCCGUGAAGAACACAAUGCAAUUACUUCGAUUGUGAAGGAUGAUGGUAGUAGAAACAUCAUCUUCAAUUAAAGCAAGGAAAGUUUUGUCUCAUACGUGAAUUUAGAAUCUUGAACCAAGGAAUCAAGGACAUAUGCAUUGAACAUGUUCUCACCACCUGCAACUCUUUUGACCAUAUAAAAAGCUUAUUUUUGGGAGCAAGAAUAGACUUCAAGGAUGCAAACAACUACUAAUCCAUUUAAUCUAAGAACUUCGAGUUCCUGCCAUUUACUUAGAGAUCAUCUAGAGUCCAUCAUCCCAUUGACGAAGAAACCACCCGUUAUGUUUAUGGAUUAUGUUUCCUAUAAUAUACCAAAACUUCAAUUAUAUAUGUCGUUCUGAUAUUAAUCCAUCAGUGUUGAAGCUACCAAUUUUCCCUUAUUUUUUCAGACCAUAACAUUUGCUAAGAACCAACUGAUAUUUCUUUCACUUUCCAAGGUUACUAAAUUGCAGAUAAAGAAAUUCUGUUUAGAAAUGCAAUCUCCCAAUUCAAAAUGAAUCUCCAAAUUAGAAUCACUCAAACCUCUUCAUAAGAGAAGCUGAAAAGUAUUCGUAGAACAAAAACUCAUCACCCCAUGAAGGAAAUAUCAUCCUUCAUAUCAUCAGUUAAAAACACCACUCAAAUAACAAUGACAAUCAUCUAUCAUGGAUCCAUACAACUGCAUCUAAAAAUCCCCCCCAAUCCAGAACAGCGUUUUGAAUUUCUCUACACGUUUCAGUUAUAUUUUCGCAUAAAAUCAAUUCUAAAUUCAUAAAAAAAUUACAAAAAAAUAAGAAAAAAUUGGCAGAAUGUUCUAACUAUUCUACAUGGUCACAUUUGUUGACCAUGACAACAUAUUUAAAUAUUUAGUAUUCAAGAUUGUAAAAUAUUGUUGGAGUCUAUCAAUCUACGAAGACACAAAUUUAAAAUUUUCAAAACUUUAAACUAAGUCCUUUGAAUAAAAAUCUUGGACUUGUCAUCGUUGCUAUAUAUAUUUACUUGAUAAAUGAUAGAAUAAAGACUAAUUGAUAUGAUAUAUAUGGAAGAAAUAGUGAUUUCUGAAUAGACCAAAUAUUCAUAUAAGGCUAAGAAUAAAUAAAGUAAAUCAAGAAGUGAAAUAAUUAAAUAAUAGUUAUUAAAAGAUUAUUUUGUUUUCUUUAUUUAUACUAUCGGAAUGAAAUAAAGAAAAAAAAAGGAAUCCGACCUGCCGGAUUCGAACCAGCGACCUAAGGAUCACUGAGCAAACUACAGUCCUCCGCUCUACCAACUGAGCUAAGGUCGGAUGAUGUUAAGAAGAACUAAAUUAAUAUAGUUAAUCCAAUUAUAUUAUAUCAUAUUGGUCAUUGGAUGCAUCGCUUUCUUGGUUUUGCAAUGCCAAUUGGGAAUUUCUUUUAACCUUCUAGAUUAUUUGAUGGCCCCCACAUGCUCUAUUUUAUAUCAAACAUAAUAUUAUUAAUAUAUUCUUUUUAGUACAAACCACGAAACUUUCCUAUUUUUAAAUUUGUAGAUUUUAUAAAAUAUUUAUAACUUACACCAAAUUCUAGAUUGGUUAUAGAAUCCAAAAAUUUUUAUAACUUUUAAAUAUUUUAAUUUAUUUUUUACUUAAAAAAAUGCUCAUUUUAAUUACAAACUUUCUUUUUCAAUUUUUCAUAAUAAAUUCAACAAACCUAUUGUUUAAUAAUUUCAAUUCUGAAAUGUUUUUUUUAAGUAAAUAAAUUUUAAAAAUAUUUUUAAAAAUAGCAAAAUAAAUUAAAAUAUUUACAAGUUAUAGCAAAAUUUUGAAUUUUAUCACUAAAAGUUUUCUAAUCGGUUAUAUAAUUUGCUUUAGGUUAUAUUUUGUAAAAUUUACUAUUUUUUAAAAAAUCUCAUUCUAUCCUUCUUUGAAUUGUAAACACUUACGUGCUUGUGAUAAUCAUUCAAAUUGUAGAGAAAAACAGGUUAGAGCUUAUUUAUUUAUUUAAGUUGCUAAGUUAUCUAAUAAAUAAACAUGAACAUUGGUCAUAAGUCUGAAUUUAGCCCAAAUUUAUUUAAGAGUAUGAAAGUUGCAAUUUUUGUUUAUAAAAUUUGUUGAAAUUAGUGUAAAAUACAUGUUUUAUUCGUCUAUUUAGUCUAUGAGAUUUUAUGUAUAAUUAAUUCAAAGUGUUGAAAGAAAGUUUGAGAAAGAAUUCAAAGAUGUAUUUGUUGUGUUGACUACACACAACCAAUUAGUUUCACUUUCCAUAGAAAUUCAAUCAAAAUAACCCAAAACACAAUUUCCUAUGAAUUUAAUUACUUUGACAUUUGACUACCCCCUGCAAUCUAUUUUUAUUUUGAAAUUUUGGUAAUAUAUAGUUUAAUCUUUUAUAUGAGUUUAUGCCAAAAAUAAUUUUUUUCUUAUAACAAAUAUGUAAAUGAGAUGUUGAAUCCAAUCUUAAAAUCUCAAAAUUGUGGUUCGUGAUUUAAAAUUUGUUUCUAAUUGAAUAAAAUUCAAAAGCAAAAUCAGAUUUUUCACUAGUUCUAAUUUAAAAUUUUAAAAUCUAUUUAAAAUUUAAAUUUAAAUUUAAAUUUUGUGUUUAAUUAUGAAUUAGAAAACUCAAUUUUGUAUUUUAUAUUUAUAAUUUUUUAAAUCAAAGUUUAAAAAUUUUAUUGUUUAAGAUUAAUUUUUAUAAAUAUAAUAAAUCGGUAAAAUAUGUAAAUGGGUAUGAAAAUCAUCCUUUUUUUAGUAUAUUUCAUCAUUGUCUUUCUUUUUCAUAGUCUUUCUUUUCUUUUCUCUACUACACUGUUUUCUUUACAUCGUCCAAUUUUUUAAAUAUUUUUCUUUAUCUUUCUUUUUUUUUUUUUUUCAAUUGUUCUCUUCCAUUUUUCUUAUUCUCCAAUUAUUUUUUAUUCUUUUUUCAAACGAAUAUUUGGUUCAAUAUCAAAUAUUUUUUUUUAAACUGUUAUUUGGUUGUUGUUUAAAAUUUGGUGUCAAAUAUAAAAGACCGUCAAAAAAUAAUUGAUAUUGUAUAAUCAAAUCUAAAUUUAAACGAUCUUUUUUAAAUAUAUUACUAAAUCAGAUGCCAAUUAAUCUAGAACAUUUGUUGUAUUUCUCGUUAUAGGUAUGUGAUAUUUUUCUAUUUUUUAAGUUACUCUAUAAUGCGUAAAUAUUUUAACACUUUGUUAUAUUUUUUAAAAGAUCCUUCAAAUAAAUUAUGUCAAUUCACAAAAUAUUGUUUAAAAAAAAUGAGUAAACCAAAUACAUUUUAAUUGUUUUCCUAGUAUUAUUUUAUUUUGAAAACAUAAAAAUGAAAAAUGAAUUCCAAAUUAAAAGAGACCUAGAGUUCUCUCAUAAAAAAAGAAAAAAAAGAAAAACACUUUUUCUCUCUUUUUUCUACCAAUUCAUUGAAUUUUUUUAAUCAACAUUAAGUUUAACAUUGGUCUUUUUAGCUUUCAAUUAUAUAUUUAAUCACCAUUAUGAGUUAUUUUAAUUUAUAUCUUCCAUCAAUCUAAUCUCUUUACUUGUAAAAAAACACAAAAGUAAAUCAAUAUAUAUAACAAUAAUAAUUUACUAUUAUUUUGUUGGGAUUUAAUUUUAAAUAAUACUGCCCCAUCAACAAUUGGAAUCUUUUCAAUAUAUUAACAUACCCACUCCCAAAACUAAGCACCAAUUCUUAAAUUAAUCUUCAUAAAUCUUAAAUUAAUAACUAACAAUUCCUUCAUGCUUCCAACUAAACUCCAUUUUCAUCCCUAAUUAUAUACUUUUAUUAUAUUUUCAUGUUUUGACUUUUUAUAUUUUCAACACUUUAUAUAACUCUUAAUUUCUCUUUUCUUUUUUUAAACUUCAUAUAAAACUGAAAAUGAAAAAUUAUAGCUAUAUAUAUACAUACACACACACACACAUGUAGGGUAGAAGAAAUAUUCAAAUUUUGAAGCAAAUUUGAUCUUCCAAAUUGGAGACAAAUGCUUCUACCAAAUUGAAAUAUUGUGCAACAGUUGACAAUAUAAAUAUUCAACAUUACAAAAAUAUACCUUUUUAUCAUUUUAGGAUAAUAUUUUAAAGAAAAUCAUUAAAUAUUGGAGUUUAUAAUUUAGAGAAGAAGAAAAAAAAAGUCAUAAGGACACAGAAAACAAAAUAGAUAAAACUAUAAAGAUUUGAUAAACCAAACAAAAUAUAAUAAAAAAAAUAAAAAUCUAAAGAUUGGGGACUAAAAUUAAUUUUAGUAAAUGAAUAAUAACAAACAAAAUUAAUUUUAGUAAAUGAAUAAUAACAAAAUGGUUUUUAUACAUUUGGGUGAAUAAAUGUAUGGUUCUAGAAAGUUUUAUAUGUCACGUAUAUAUAUAUAUAUUAUAUAUUUGAUGGGAUAAUUUAUUAAUUUAGUUGUAGUUAAUUAAUGUUUGAAUGUUAGUAAUGAAAUGAAAGAUAAUAACCAAAAUGAUUUAAACGUAAUUGUCCCAUCAGGCGAACUUAGUCCGCCAUUGCAUUUAAAAUCACUUUCUCCGUCUGCUCUUCUAGAAGGCGAGGGAUGGCCAGCAGUAUCCUUUCAUUUCACCUCCAAAUUAUAGAAUACUCUCACUUUCUAUUUUCCCUAUAGAAAUAUAUAUAUCCCCCUCAGGCCUCCAUUGAUAUCAAUUUCUAUUUUUCUUUUUUUCAAAAUUUUUCAUCUUCUACCUUCACUUUCCUUUUUUUCUUCAUCAUCAAUCCAUCUAUCACAAUCCAUUUCAGUUUCCAUUCUUUCUUAAAUUACUACCUAAAGAAACUCAGGAAAAAAUUAUGAUUCUAGCUUAUAAAGAAUCGUAUAACAGAGUAGAAGAUACGGACUCCUCCAUCAUCAUCAAUCAACAUCCACAUCCACAUCCACAUCAACACCAUGAACAACAACAAGAAGAAGAAGACGAAGAAGAAGACGAAGAAGAAUCUGUAGAAACGCUCUCUCUUUGCGACCUUCCAAUUUACAGCGAUGAAUCUAAUUGUGAUGAUUAUCAGAGCGCUUCCUUUGAUGAUCAUAACCAAGAAGAUGAUACAUUCUUCGAGUUUUUCAGCCAUGAUUUCUCUGUUGCUAAUUCAUCUUAUUCUGGAUCUGACAACAUUAUCUUCUGCGGCAAAUUGAUUCCCUACAAACAACCAAGCGAUUCCCAAAUCAAACCAUCGGACAAUUUUUCUGGUAAGAAAUCGUCUGUAAGUGAUACUAGAUCGGGACCAGGAGGAAUUAAAAGCUUCGAUCCGUUUUCGAUUUCAUUGACGAACAAUUCCAUUCCUGAGUACAUCAAACGGCCAAAGAGGAAAUGGAAAUUGCAGAAAUAUGAGUUACCGGAAGAGAGAGCGAUGAUACUGCAAUCGUCCCCGAUGAAAUCGCGGUGGUUCUUGUUCCUGUUUGGUAGCGCCAGGUUUCCGAAAGAGAUGGAACUGAGUGAGAUGAGGAUAAGGCAACGCCGGAGCAUGCGGUUGCCGGAACAACGGCAGCCAUCGUCGGAGGAGAGGAAAGUGGAGAAAGGAAGAAGCAAAGGGAAGAAGACUACGACGUUUCAAGCGCUGUGUAAGGUUCUUAGGGCCUUGGUUAUAGGCUGCAGUAGCAGCAACCAUCGAAACGGCGCCUUGAUGUGCAGAACUUUUAUAUAAUGUACAACAAUGCAGGUGAAAAAUUGUAAAGUGUGCAGAACUUUUAUAUAGACAUUCUUGAUGUGUUACCGGUGGUGGAGCAGAGGUUUAUGGUGGCUGCGGAACUGAUUUAUAUAUAGCCUCACGUAGCAGGUUUUCAUUAUAAAAACAUCUUAUGUACGAACAAUUGAUCCUCAUUACCAAUAGCAGCAUUUUGAUCUGUGUCUUGUUCUGUACCUUUGCUGUUAACCAGCCGGCUUUAUACAUUACUUAAAAUUAGCUCAGUCUUGCUACUACCUGAACUUUCAGAGUCAACUCAUUACUACUGCAUUGAGAUUACUAUGCUUGAGAUUACUAUGCUUGAAGAGGUGGUUCAUAUGCUUGAAGAUUUGAGAUAUCUAAAAGGUAAUCUGAAAGAGAUGGUAGAUCCCAGCAUAUCAAAGUGGAGAACGCAGUCAAAGUGGUAAGGAUCGCACUUCGCUGCACGACUAAGAUUCCAUCUACAAGGCCCUUCAUGCAAAUGGUGGUUCAUAUGCUUGAAGAGGCUGAACCUUGUAAAAACUAAAAGUAGCAAAAGCUUUGCAUUUAUUACUACUGCACACUUUAAGUAAUCAGCAAGAGGCUUCAAAUGCAGCAAGGGCUGAACCUUUAAGUAAUCAGCAAGGGCUGAACCUUGUAAAAACUAACAGAGGCUGAACCUUGAAGAUGAAUGUAAAAACUAAAAGUAAUCAGCAAGAUUUGCAUCAUUAAUACUGCAGUAGCAAAAGGAGAGCAUUUAUUGAGUUCUAAAGCACACAAUAUUGUCAUAAUAGGAUUUCAAGUCUUUCUCAAAAAGCUUGAAAUGCCAAAGGAGUAAAUAUUCUAUAAACAGUUCACUGUAGGAUAAAAAAAAAAGAGAAGGAAAGUCUUGAAGUUGCAGAAGAAAAGUCUUCAACUUAGAAUUGUCAGUGAGAUGACUUUAGUGAUCUUGCAAACAACACAGGACACAAUUUUAUAAGCAUCUUCCACCUGCAUUAAAAAAAUGAACCUUUUUUACAUCGUGAUCAUGCAAACAACGCAAGCACAAACCAAGCAAGUAUAAAACUAUUACUACGUACCAAGACGGGUACUAAUCUUGUAUGCUCGACUUCUGGAUGUAUGAAAUUGGAUUGGUACACGUUAAUCUAUUGUGGCCUGUUUCUUUACAUCGACCACAUUUAUGCAAUUUUGGUGCUUCACCGACACUUGGAAUCCUCUUUUUCUUCGGUCGACCAACUCUUUUGACUACUUUCGGAGGUAAGACAGUCAUAUGUACAUAUUCUUCGGUUGUCUUCCAUUCCGACUGAUUCCCAACUGGGUAGACGGCCUCCGAAUAUGCUGCCAACAAACAUUCAUUAGUGUAAUAGUUAGCACAUAAGCUAUAAACAUUUAUAUUGCGAUCCCGUGCAACAGCAAUGGCAUGUGCGCAUGGUAGUUGCUCAGCUUGAAACUCCUUACAAGUGCACUCUUGAGUAUGAAGAUUUAUGACCUCCUCUUUAUCUAAAUCUUUAACAUGGAAUUGGUAACAAUCAAUUGGGUUGACUUUCAUUGUCAAAGCUCGUUCUUGUUUCUUUUGUAGAACUAACUCUGCCCAUUUAGUCAAUGUAGACGUCACUUUAAUGCCUUCUUCUCGACGCUCCCAAAACCAACGUUGUAGCAAAGCUCGAACAUGUUCAAGGAAUGAAGCAAUAGGCAAAUCUCUAGGUUCUUUCAGUAUAGAAUUCAUGGACUCUGCUAUAUUUGUUGUCAUCAUAUUAUAUCGUCUUCCUGGACAGUGAAAACGAGACCAACGUGUUAUUCCAACAUCGUUUAAAUAUUUUCCUGAAUCAUUAGGAAAUGCAAGAAUACUUCUCCACGCUUCUGAGAACGUUGAUUCACGGUAUGUUCUAGAUGCAUUGUAAAACAAAGUAGCUAUAGUGUCAUUCUUGUAUUUAUCAUUCAAAUUUUGAGUCAAGUGUUGGACACAAAGUCCAUGGAAUGCGGAGGGAAAAACCGAUGCAAUACACUUAGAAAAACAUGUUUUUCGAUCUGUCACGAAGCCUAGAUUAGGCACCUCUCCUAUUGCACCUUUCAAUUUCUCUAAGAACCACUGUAUUGAAGCAUCUGUUUCUCUGUCCACCACUCCAAAGGCAAGAGGAUAAAUUUGAUUGUUACCAUCCAAGCAAACAGCAACUAUCAACUGACCCCGAUAUUUGUUCUUAAGGAAUGUUCCAUCCAUGACUAUAACCGGUCUAAUGCAGUUUAAGAAUCCUCGAACACAUGGACCAACAGCCAUAAAAAGAUAUUUGAAGAAACGAUUAUCUUCAAGUUCCAUGUGAAAUAUUGUACCUACAUUUGCAAGUUUGAGAGCUUCACCAUAUCUAAGCAAUAGAUUAUAUGACUCUUCAGGACACCCGCGCACUCGUUCAUACGCAUUUUCUCUAGCGCGCCAUGCUUUUUCAUAACUCAUAUUUAUGCCAUAGUCUUGCCUCAUGUCUUCUAUGAUAUCACGCGGUUUGUAUAGACGACCGACUCCCUUGAACUUUGACUUUAUUAAUUCUCCAACAACCCAAGAUUUUGCUUGCCUAUGGUCACGAUUCAAAACGUCAAGAGAACACGAAUGAACUUUGACAUACUUUUUAAUCUUAAAUAUAUUUGAAUCCUUCAAUCUCAUCGCUCGCAGUCUCCAACCACACUUGUUGUCAAUGCAUCUAACAAAGAGAACCUCUUUUGUAGACUUUUUUACUACAAACUGAAAAUUUUUUUUCAUUGCCAAGACACUUAAUCUCAUUGACAAAUCUUUUUUGGAAAAAAAUAUUUGUCCUACAUCAAACUCCUCACUUGUAGAGCUUUCUUCGGACCAAUCAUUCAUGUCUGUCUUCAACUUUUGGCUAGAAGAGCUGUAACGAACUUUAGAUUUUCCUUUGCAAUCUUUUGUAGGACCAUCUCUAUGUUGUGGGAUGUCAAAUGAUUCACUAUUCAUCUCUACUGGCUCCCAUGUAAAAGUCUCAUCUUUCGAAUCAUAUGACUCAUAUGAUUCCCAUAUAGCCGAAGUGGUCCCUAUCACGUUAUCACACAAGCCAACUUCAACUUCACGAACAUGGACUUCAUUCUCAUUUAAUGUAUCCAUUACAAUUGGAGGAUGAGGGUUUAAGUUAUGAGCUUGGUUGCUGCCAGAUACUGAAUUGUAAUCUUUGCUUAACACUUUUUUGCUUUGAUUACUUUUAGGCUCAAAUGAGACGUAUAAAGGGACCUUUAAUGGAUUUUCACUAAGAAGAUAAAACUUCAAAUCACGGUCAUUGCUUAACUCAAAUGUAGGAGCUUCGUGUUCCACUUUUAUCUCAUAUAUGCAUCUUAUCAUUACGUCGAACUUUGAAGGGUCAACUUCUGCAAGGUCAUAUAAUUCUGCCUGUAAAUCUUUAUGUGUUAUUUCUUUACUGACAACGAUGCCUUUUAACAUGCCUCCUUCGUAUUUUCUUCGCCUCUCAUCCCACAUACCACCGUAACGCACUAACAUGGGAAUAUGUGACAUCCUUAAACCACCUUAUACUUUUCAAUUGCUGCAAAAAAUGAUUUGAAGUUAGCAUUUGACAUAUCACAUAAACAAAGUUUAUUAAAAAACAGUAGGUAAAUACUAAAUAAAACGUGCAUAGUCACACCCUACAUGUUUACGAUCUUGACAGCUACAAAAUGUUUAGGAUAUUGCGAGAUACAAAAAACAAUAGCUAAAAGUCACCCUAAAUCAAUUCAUUUCAGAUUAAACAUUUCAAUUUAAGAACCUGCAAGAUGUCUGCGAGAUGUUUGCGAGAUGUCUACCAGAUGUUUGCGAGAUAAAAUAAUAAUAAUGAUAAAUUGCUAACAUCAUUUGAAACAUCUAUAAAGCAACCUUAAAUCAACCCUAAAUCAACUUGAAACAAUAAAAAAUAAUAUUUGAUUUAUACAUUUAAGAUGCAAAAAUAUAUAUACAUAUAACACAACACAAUUCAGAUUCGGAUUUAAAAAUUAAAACAAACCACAAUGCGUGAGAUGUUCGCCGGAGUAGAUGAUGAACGACACCGGAGUAAAGCGGAAAGUUGACAAACUUUUGAGAGAGGAGAAGAAUCGCAAAUGAGUUUUUCUUUUUUCUUUUUCCUUUACAUAAUCUAUGAGAAGGAGGAGAAAUGCUUCUUUUUUCUUUACGUAAUCUAUGAGACUGCAAGAGAAGGAUUCUUCUUUUUUUUUCCCUUUACGUAAUCUAUGAGGAGAGGAGAAGAAGGCUGCGUUCGCAAUUCUGUUUUUUUUCUUCAGGUGAAUGACAUUGAAGAGAGAGAGAGAGGGGUUGGAAAAGAAGAGAAGAGCAAAUGUGAAUUAAAAUUAAAAGAGGGUAUUUUCGUCAUUUCACCUCCAAUUUAUCCUAAAUCUCAACUUUUCUACAAUCAAUCCUAAAACUCUAUUUAUACCCCAUUUUUGGCCUAUUUUUGUCAAUUUCCCUUUAUUCUUUGCCCAUUUGUUCCUUCAAGUCUCUUCGUUACUUUUGUUUUCACUCUCUAUCUCUCUCUCUAAGCUCAAGAUCUGGCCUCUCUCUCUCUCUCAUGGAGGUUGCUGUUUUCUUUGCCAAUCAAUUUCUUUAGGAUCUAAGAGAGAGAGCUGCUGAGAUUCAGAAAAGAAAUGGAGGUUUUGUGCUGAGGUAUGUAAUGGAGGGUUGUUUCUUUCAGUUUCUUUGCCUCUAAACCUCCUAUUUCAUAUGGAAUUGUUUCGUGGGUUUGUUUUGUUUUUUGUUUUUUUUUUCCUUGGGAGUUUUCUUUGUACAAUGUUGCAAUCAGAUGGAUUUUAAUUGGUUGUUACGGGCUUUCUUCAUUUUGGAUCUGUUUUCAGAAAGUUUAAAUUUUGCAUUGUUUUGAGUUCUUAUGUUUCUGACUGAUUUGUGUGUUCCUUUUUCUCAGGUUCAGAUGAUUGAAUAGGAAAUGGGGAAGAAGGGGGGUUGGUUUUCUGCUGUGAAGAAAGCAUUUGCUCCUGAAUCUAAGGAAAAGAAAGAUCAGGUUCUUAUGGGUUGGAUUCUAAUUUCUAUAAUUUUUUGUCUUCUUUGUGUUAUGGUUUUCUUCCUAGAUCCUGAACUGAGAGUUUGUUAAUGAUUUUCAUUGCUAGAAAACCAACAAAUCAAAGAAAAGAUGGUUUGGGAAGCCAAAGAAAUUGGAGACAGUGACAUCUGCAGAGCCAGCUUCAUUCGAUGUGUCGAUUCUACCAAUUGAAGAGGUAAAAUUAGCAGAUGCAGAGAAUGAACAGAGCAAACAUGCUUACUCUGUUGCCAUUGCCACUGCAGUCGCUGCAGAGGCAGCCGUUGCAGCUGCUCAGGCUGCAGCGGAGGUCGUUCGGCUUACUACUAUCCCUCGAUACUCUGGGAAAUCAAAGGAAGAAAUAGCAGCCAUCAAGAUCCAGACUGCAUUCCGUGGCUAUUUGGUGAGUGAUCACUUUCACUUUUUUUUUUUUUUAAAAAAGCUAUGGCUGUUUUGAACUACACUACUUUUUUAAACAGUUCUUUGUUUUGGAUAGAAUUGUAGAUUUUGUUUAAAUUACCAUCUAGGCCCCUAGAGUUUGAGUUUCAUUUCAAAUUAGUCUGAAGUUUUAUGAUUAUUCCUUAGAAUUCAAGCACAGAGCAGUCCAAAUCUAUAGAGAAGUUUCGGUUCAAGUGAAGGUUGUUUGAAGUUUUAUGAUUAUUCUUGAGAUCUGUUAACAACUCCCACAACAUUUCUUUAGAGAGGCAGUGAGCAGAUCUUAGAUUGACUUACAGCAUUAGGUUAAGUAUAUAAGAGUUUGGUUGUGUAAAAUCUAAAUGAAAUCAUGUGGAUAAUUGGGUAAGGUGUGGUAUUAGGAUUUUUGAGAAUGUGCAACAAGACCCACCUUUUUUCCUUGUUAUUUUUUUCCCUACAGUUACUUAGCUCAUCAUCUUUCGUUGCCAGAAGCCACAUUAAAAAUAAAAUAAAAGGCUAACAUUUAACAGAGAUUAGAGCAAGUUAUGGGAGCUACCAUGAAAGUCUUAAAAUCACAAAGAAACCAAAGUUUAGUAGGAACUAAAACAAUUAAUAUACCCAGAACUAUUCAACAAUCUUAAAACAACAAAAUAUACAAGUCAAAUUCCUACUUGCCAUGACUUAAAGUACUUUUUCUUGAGAAAGAGCAUGAGUUUUCGCAUCAAAUUCGUGCACAUCAUAUACACCUAACUUCAAUGCAGGCUUUGAAUGUGUCAUUUAAUGGUCUACAGAGUGUUCAAAAACCGUAUUUAAUAGGUUGUUCUCUGUAAUAGCUAGUUCAAGGAUUUGGGACAUUAAUUAUUGGUAUUGAAAUUAGUUUCUAUAAUGGGAAUUUUGUUGGCUCAGGCAAGGAGGGCCCUGCGGGCAUUAAGAGGGUUGGUGAGGCUAAAGUCAUUGAUACAAGGCCAAUCUGUUAAAAGACAAGCAACAACCACAUUAAGAUGUAUGCAGACUCUUGCUCGUGUGCAGUCACAGAUUCGUGCAAGAAGAAUUAGAAUGUCAGAGGAGAAUCAGGCUCUUCAGAGACAGCUCCAACAAAAACAUGAAAGAGAGCUUGAGAGAUUAACUACUUCUGUAAGUUUCUUACUAUUAUCUUUUGUAAAUCUCUCAUGUCAGAUUGUACUUUGACAGUAAUACUUAAUGGCUACCUGGUUUUCAUCUAUUUUUUUUCCUAGUAACAUAGAUACGUGGCCUAACGACAUGAUGCCACAUGACCAUCGAAAUUUUUAAGUUUCUUUUUCAGUUGUCCUUAGGCUGGGCUAUGCAUCCCAACUAGUCCUAAAUCCAUUUUUCCUUUUGGAGACUCAAAUCCUCUCAUCUCUCAUUCACACAAAGUACAGAUAUUUGGUAAUUUUAUAUUUGUACCGUAGAGAGAUGGAGAGAGAUGGAUAUUUAAUAUUCAAUGUCAGGAAGCUUUUCGAUAUAUUUAAUACUCCAAGUGGGUAGCAAGUAGUUUAUGUGUUUCUUUUUCUGGUGCUCCUUUAUGAUGAGAUAUUUUUAAUCCAUUAAUCCGCAAGCUGACUUAUGAACUUUCCAAUUAAUCAUAUCGCAUAUGAUAAAACAGCCUCUGACUCCCAAGAUAUUUUUAAAAUGAGGUUUGAGUAUAACGCACUCUCUCUUACGAGUGGUUUUAAGAUGUUUCUUUUAUAAGGAAGUUCUUGAUUAGAUAUUACAAGUUACAAGAAUGUGGCCUAUGAUCAGUUCUUAAUUAAUCCUUGUGUUGAUACUAUGAAUGAGAAUUGAAGUUUGAUGUUUGGAUUAGGCAAACUAUGAAUGGAAUGACAGUACCAAAUCAAAGGAGCAAAUUGAAGCCAGAUUAGCUAACAGGCAAGAAGCAGCAACAAGAAGAGAAAGGGCAUUGGCGUAUGCUUACUCUCAUCAGGUUCAAUUCAUUUCUUACUUUCUUGCUGAAUUAUUACCUCCCUGCUCAGAUCAUUGUUUUUCAUUCUCAUGGGCGUUUUCCCAACAGAAUUCAUGGAAGAGUUCUUCAAAAUCUGCAAACUCUACAUUCAUGGACCCGAACAAUCCCCGCUGGGGAUGGAGUUGGUUAGAACGAUGGAUGGCCGCUCGUCCAUGGGAAACUAAGAGCACCAUGGAUUAUCACGAUCGUGGCUCCGUCAAGAGCGUGAUCAGCCACACAACCUCGAUCGGAGACAUCGCCAAAGCUUACGCCCGUCGCGAUCUCAAUCUCGACAUCAUCAAGCAGUUUCCAAGGACUCCGACGAGCCAAAAAACAAGCCGAGCUCCGAGUCACCAAUCGCCAGCGACUCCUACGAAGGCAUAUUCGUCACUAUCUGCAGGGAGAAAAUUGAAGCCGGAUAGUCCAAGAGGAAUUGGGUGGAGCGGAGACGCGGAUUCCAGAAGCGCAUUGAGCAUCAAAUCGGAAAGGUACAGGCGACACAGCAUUGCUGGAUCAUCAGUGAGAGAUGAUGAAAGCUUCACGAGUUCACCGUCGGUUCCAAGCUACAUGGCAUCAACAGAAGCAGCGAGGGCUAGGUCCAGGUUGUCGAGCCCAAUGGGAACAGAGAAGACGGCAGGAACUCCGGGGAGUGUGGGAGCAAAGAAACGGCUGUCAUUCCCAGGGUCGCCGGCGAACUCAAGGAGGCACUCUGGUCCGCCGAAACUAGAGGCUAGUCCGAUCAAGAAUGUUGGAGAGAGAGAAUUCACCGGCGAGAGCAGAUAGUGGAAGAAGAUGGAUUUGGUAGUGAUUUUUAUUCUUAAUUGUCAUUUACAAUUUUUCUUUUUUAGGAUUUAAUUUUAUAGGUAGCGUUGUUUUUUGUUUGUUUGUUUGAAGGCAUCCACCCACACCCCAAUGGUGAAUAAAAGAACGUAGUCUUACUCUUCUUUCUUUCUUUUUAUGUAAAUGGAAUUGAAUUGAGCUUUGUUUCGCUUUGAUUUCUCUUUUUGAGGUAUAUAAUUUGUCACCUUUUUUCUUUUCAUUUCUUUUUCCUCUUAACUUUUCACCUUUUUCCAUGAAUCUACUCAUUCCCUUUCUCUCACUUUACACUUCUACUUUUUCCAGGUCGAGAAUGAGUGAACUUCACAUUCUGUCUAAUUAUGUUUCCAGUUUUCCACUCGAUCUAGUUUUCAAAAUGAUAGUCUUAUUGAGUUGACGAUACAAGUCACUUCCAUCCAUGCAAAUAAAAAAGAACAAGCUCUUACAAGCAAAAGUCCAUAACUCAAUCAAGAUUGAGAUCGAGUUACACAUGGUCAUCCCGUGAAACAUUAACAUUUUCAAUCAUUAGUGUUACAAAGAGAAAUUAAUUAUUUUGUGGUUCAGUAUUAUACAAACUCUAUGAAUUCAUACACCAACUUGCAUGAUUCUGCAUGAAUGAUUUAAAUUACAAUGUGUGUAAUAUUUACCAAGCGGGUAGUGUCCAUAGUGUACUUACCAAGAUAAGGUAUCCGACCUUAUACAUAUGUUAGCUUGACUUUUAGAUUUUUACUUGAAUGUGAUUAUCUUGUAUGUCAACUACAUAGUGUUCAAAUUUUAUUUAAUAAUCUUGGACUUUUAUUUGUUCGAUUCGUGUUACUACAAUUCUAAAAGGCGUAAUAAAAUAACAUUUAUUUUGUGGAUAAGUAAAUUGUUUAAAAAAAUACAAAAGGUAAGUUUAGAGCGUAAAACUCAACACUAAAGAAAUCAUACAUUCGUAGUCAUGAGUGUAUGCUAUUUUAAAAUUUUCAUCUUAUUUGAUUGUUUAUUGUGUUGGUAUGUUAUAUAAAAAGUUUAGGGUUAUUUAUGAAAUCAUUAAGCAAAUCUUUUAAUACUUUUCAUCCAAAAUUAACGACAAUAAUAUUUUUGAAUGUUUAAGGAUAUUUUUUAAACUUUUGAAAGUUCACGAGUAUUUCCUUUUGGUCUUUAAGUUUUCAAAAUGUAUCUAUUUAAUUCGUGACAUUUUCAAAACAGGUUUAAAAGAUAUGUGUUUAUUGGUCCCUAAAUUUUGGGUAUAGUUAUAUUUUAGUUUAUAGGUUUCAAAAUAAUGUUACAUUUCUCACCUUAAGUUUUAAGUUUGAAUUUAAUUUAGUUCAUAAGUUUUAAAAUAUUACAAUUUUACCCUUUAGGUUUGAAUUUUGUUUUAAUUUCUAUUAACUAAUUUAACUAAAAUUAUAAAAAAAAUUAUAUUGUAAAUAUAAUUAUGUAUGUAGAUAUUCAUAACCUGCAUAGAUUACCAAUCUUCAUAUAACUUUUCCUCAAUUAUAUAUUGUAUCAUUCAUCUCAUUGAAUUCCAUAAUGUAACACAUACUAUACCAUGUCUUAUAAAUACAGGUGCGUGGUGCCUUUGUAAGAUACACCACAAGUUCAAUUGUUCUCUACUUUCUCUUUUAUCUAUUUUUCUUUUGUGUUGUUUCAUUAUUCUUAUUUAGCUUCUUUGUUCAUGUUUUAUAACACUUUAUAAUUAAUUAAAUUUCACUACUUUUCAUUGCAAUCAUAGCUAAUUUUAAAUUUUCACUUCAUAAAUAUUUAAAAUUAAUCAAGGGUUUUUUUUUUUUAAUUAUAACAAAUUGGCAAAAUAUUUACACGGUAUAGAACAAUUUUGAAAAUAGAAAAAGCCCACAGACCCAUAAUGGAAAAUACAAAAAAUGUCUCAAUCAACACAUGAUUGAUUGGCCGCAUGCACGAGUGUAAUUCUUCUUAUAAAUGAACGUGAUACGCGAUCAUGUAGGAAAUGAUACAUGAUAGUGUAGGAAAUGAUACACGAUCAUGUGAGUAGUAUCAACAUCGAUCACACACGCUCAUGUAAUUGUUAUUCUAAAUGAUCAUGAUACGCAAUUAUGUAGGAAAUGAUACACGAUCGUGUAGUUCUUUUUAACAAUGGAAAAAUGUUUCGUGUAAUUUUUUUUCUAAACGAUCAUGAUACACGAUUGUGGGGAAAAAUGCUUUGCGUAAUUCUUCUUCUAAACGAUCAUAAUAUGCAAUUGUAUAGAAAAUGAUACAUGAUCGGGUAGAAAAUUGUACACGAUCAUGCAUUUCUUUUUAACGAUAGAAAAAAUGCUUUAAAUCUAAAUGAUUGGACUGCUGACCAUACUAAAUGAUUGUGUUGACCAUGCUAAAUGAUUGUGUUGACUAGGUAAGCAAUCGUUUAGAUCAUAUCAAAGUGAUAUUUAAACGAUCUUGAUAUUGUGGAAGAGGAGUUGUAAGAAAGAAAUAGAAGAUGAAAAAAGAAAGUAAGAAAAAGAAGAUGAAUAAAAAUAGAAGAAAAAGAAUCUGGAAAAGGAGUUGAAGAAAUCUAGAAGAGGAAAUGAAUAAAUCGUAAGGAAGAAGAAGAAAGAUAAGUGACGAAUCGUCUGGAAUAUCAAGGAAAAAUAUGAAAUUUAUGAAAAAAUUAUACAUGCUUCAUAGACUUUUUGAUUUUGUUACACGAGCGGUAAAUAUUUUGGUGUUUUGUUAUAUUUAUGAAAAUUUACCAUUAAUUAAUAUACAUUCACACCAAAUAGUGAAAGUGAAUGAAUCUUAAUUAAAAGAUUAUGCUGAACAACACUAGAAUUUAAAGAAAGUUUCAUCCUCUCAUAAUUGAUCACUCAUUCAAGAUUGGAAUUCAAUUAAAGAUUGAAAUAAAAUGCGCAAGAAAGAUCAAACUAAAAAUUAAUUUCCAAAAAGGUACCUUUUAUUUCUUUGUUCAUCUUGGUGUAACAUCAGAAGGAAAGUUGAACACUAAAGGAAAUUUUAUUAAUAACUUUUGAGAGAAAAAUUACAAGUUGAAGUGCCAUUUCUAUUUGGGAAUUGAAUAGGGUAAUAGAACUAUGGAAUUGAUAUUAAAAUACAAGAGAAAGGGAAGUUAUAUAGCAAUUGGGUUUCAAAAGGUGUGCAAAUGUGCUCAUUCACAUGCACCAAAAGUUUGUAGCAUCGUGAUGCUUGCUUUAACUGUUAUUAGUGUUACAACACUUCAUAUUUGAUGUGGUGAUGCAACACUAAGUUGAGUUUCACGAUGCUGCUUGAAAAUGAAGCUCUUUGGUUUCUGAUGCCAUGGCAUGACAUUGCACUGUUGCAAGCGGCGUUGACAAGGUGAAAAUUACAAAUUUGCCUUUGAUUACACACCAAAAAUGUUCAUUUUACAACAUACUUAUACAUAACAUGUUAAAACAAUGAUCAACAACAUGUUUAGGUAAAUUGAUAAAAUCAAACAAUUACAAAACUUAUACUAACAAAGAGUAAACAAUUAAUUUAUAGAAACAAAUCAUAAAUAACCCAUAAACUAUACAUAGAUCGUAAAAUAGUUGAAAUAAAAACCAAACAUAAACAAUCAUGCAAACCGUAAACUUAUUAUAGAUCAUAAACACAAACAAUCUCAUAAAUCAUAAAGAAAUUAAGAAGAAGCAAACCAUAAUGUUAUUAUGAACUAACAAUACUUUUAACAAACAAUAUUUUUGUAAACAUAAUAUGUAAAUAGGUAUAAAAUAUUAUAUUUUCAAACAUUUAAACUAUGCAUAAUGUAGACAUGGAAUAUUUCAUGCAAUGUUUACAAAUACAAAAAGAUAUAUAUAUAUAUUAUAGCCUACCUUUUGCAUGAUGAUAAAAUUGUAAAGAUUUGUACUGAUAACGUUUUAUAAAAUAAGAACAAAGAAGCUAAAUAAGAACAAUGAAACAACACAAAAGAAGAAUAAAGAAGAGAGGAAAUAGAGAACAAUUGAACUCAACUGUGAUGUAUAUUUCAAAGACACUACACACUUCUAUUUAUAGGACAUGUCAUGAUAUAGAUUACAUUAUAAAGUUCAUUAAGAUGAAUGUUACAACAUGAAAUUGAAUAAAAGUUAUAAGAAAAUGGCUAACCUAUAUAGGUUAUGAAUGUCUACGUAAAUAAAUAAUUAAGAAAAACGUAUGACAAUUCAUUAGCUCAAUUUUGAAGCUAUAUAAAUUUCUCUUAUUCCCUUAUAGCACUCACACAUUCUCCCUCAUUUUCUUUGUGACUCGUGUUCGCACUCUCAAUUAUUCUCUCUCUCAAUAUUUUUAUGUAAGAUAAAAAUCUAAUGAAAUUGUGAACAAUAAAAUAAAUCCAUAUAUUGGAGAAUCUGGUGUAAAGCAAAAGAUACUUUUGUGUUUUCUAACUAUGUAUAAAAAUGCAUGAAGGCCUCCAACGACACUACAACUAUAUGUCGAAUAAGCUGCAAUAUUCUCAUAAUACUUACCAUGCACUGCAACAUAUCUAAAUUAGAUUAAUUUAAAUUUUAGUUGUUUCUAAGCAUUAUAUUUUGGAUUGGAAAGACUUAUUUAUCCAUCAUUUGAUUUUAUUUAUAUCAUUUCAUUCUUUAUUCUUUUCUUUCUUUUCUCUCUUUCUUUAAUUUAUUUUUAAUUAAAAGAAAGUAUGUUUUGUUAU
rnacentral:lncRNA from 1 species